rnacentral:lncRNA from 1 species
UGAAAAAUUUUAUUGAAUCAGGAGACGAAGAUUUAUACAAGAGAUUUCCUACAAUCAUGCUAAUCUAUUCUAGGUAUAAAAGGCAACUGAAUAAAUAUACAAUUACUACAAUAUAUUUUGCCAUAUACAAUUAAUACAAUAUUGACCUUUCCUUCUUAACACAAAUUUUAUAUCAUUUUAUUUUUUUAUUUUUUUAUUUUUUUCCAAUUCUAUUUUUAUCUAAUAUUUAUUUUAUUUAAACCCAAAGUUGUUGAGAAUGGAGGAAGAAAGAAUGCCACAACCGGUUCUUCCCUUAACUGGUUAAGUGGAAUUUUUAUUUCAAAUUUAAAAUGGAUGGCCAAGAUGUAAUCUUGGACAUCCAAUGGCUUAAAAAGCUUUUUGGGUAGGUACCGAAGAGGUACCCUAGAAUUUUCCUUAGGUAUGAUACCAAUGUGUGGAUAUUUUUUCCUCAUCAAAUGAUUUUUAUCUUUUUUUUUUUUUUUUAAAUUGAAAAUUUUAAAAUCUUAUAAUUUUUCUAUUUUUGAAAAAGGAAAAAGUAUCCUUUUCUUGUGUGAUAAAUAUAUUAAAAAAUGGUUAACAUGUAUUAAAAGCAAUUUUUUUUAAUGCAUAUAAGGUUAUAAAAAGAUGGUAAGAAAAAAUAAUACCAUCAUAUUUAACAACAUUUUUUUCUUUAUAUGUAGAUAAAAGUUUUCAUAUCAAAAUUUUAUUUUGGGUUACAUGCACUUUACUCUCGUAAUCAUUGAUGUGUUUUACACUUUAUUCCCUUACAAUUAAAAUCCCACAUUUUGCUCGUAAACUUAUUAAAUACCAAUAUUUUAUCUCAGAUUACAAAUCCUUCAUAAAAUUAUAAAAGAUAUUGAUUUUUUUGCAUACUUCGAUUCAAAUAUUAGUGUGAAAUUAGGUAAAAUCAACUUUGAAUUAAUAGUCUUGAAAUAAAAUUUAUCAGAUUUCUUCAAAAUAUAAUAAUUAUUAGUUUUUAUUUUUUAUUUUAGAGAGAUAUUCGUAUGACUAUUUGUGAUUUUUGCAUUCAGUUGCAAAGUAUGACAACUUGGAACUUAGGUAAUAGAUGUUUUUUUUUAUUUAUAUAUUAGCAUUGUUUUUUUACUUGACAAACUAUUUAUUGACUUUUUAAUAAAUUUAGGGGGUGAAGUGUUGCAUUUGAAUAAAUUUAAGGAGCAAAAUAUUGAGUUUCGAAUAUAAGAUGAUAAAGUGUAAAAUAUGCUAAAGAUUUACGGAUAAAAUGUAUUUAACUCAUUUGUUUUUUAUUAUUCUUUUAUUCAAUGACUCAAGCUUAAGCAAAUGUUUCAAUACCCUCAGAUUUGGAGUUCAAUAAGAGGCUUGUUUAAGUUAAAACUCUUUCCAUUUACCCACUUGGUAGAAUUUUUAUUUUGCAUGAAAGACCUAAACUGGAGCAGCAUAUCACAUGUCUUUGAUCACUUGACUGACGUUCAAGGAUAUGAUUGGGGACUUUUGAUCAGGCUUUAAGGAAGGUUUAAAACCUAUGAGAUGAAGUGAUGUUUUGAUAUUAUGCAAUUAUUAUUAAAUUUUACUCUUUGGUCUAAAAAACAGUAUCUUUUAUUUCUGCUAGUUUCCUUAUGUUUUAAGGGCUUCUUUAUUAGUUGUUCCAAAAAUUAAAAACUGUUUUUGAGAAAAAAAGAAAAAGAAAAUAUGAGUAAUAAUUAGAAAACAUAAAGUAAUUUCUUGUUCUUAAAAACUAAAAAACGAAGUAUUUUUAAUAUAUUUUAGUUGUUUUUAAUUAUUUUAAUUUGGUUUUUAAGCAAUAUUUUAAAAAAUAAUAGGAUAAAUAUAAAAAAUAAUUAAAAAUAAAAUAUUACAUAAAAAUUCUUUAAAAAUAGAAAAUAAGUUGAAAAUAUUUCAAAUUUCCAAAGAAACCCCCCCUUUUUUUUAUAGAAAAUAUCUAAGAAUUGAAAAACCGUUAUCUAAAAUUGGUUUUAAGAGCUUACCAAACAUACCUAGGGAUGCAACUUGGACGAGUUGGUAUGAUCCAACCCGAUGUUUGGAUAUACUUGGACAAUUAUUUUCCAUAUUCGGAUUGGGUUUGGGUAAGGUUUUUUCAACUUGAGCUCAAUUUGGAUUGAGCUCGGGCUAAAGUUCAAAUAACUUGAGCCCUAUCUAAACUCGAUAUAAUAUUUUUAUAAUAUUUAUAAUGCAUAUUAUCUUAUGUAAAAAUAUUUAUUUUCUUCAUAUGGUUUUUAAGAAAAAAAUAUUCAAUUAUAUUAUAUCACAUAUUUUUUAUUUUUUAAUAAUAAUAUAUAAAUUUAUGUUUAUUCAUAUGUUAUUAUCUUAAAAUUUUAUUCUAUUUACUAUUUAAAUUUUCAUAUAAAUAGAUAUUUAAAAAAUAUAUAUAUUAUAAGUAAAUUUCGAAUUAUACAACUCGAUUAACUCGAAUAACUUGAAUUCAACUCAAUCAAUCCAGGUCUAAUCUGACUAACUUGAGUCUAACUUGAAUAACUCGAACUCAAUUUGAACUUAGAAAAAUGAGAUUAGAUUGAGUUUGGGUUGAGUGCCUAAAGUUAGAGGUUGGGUUGAAUUGAGUUUCGAUUGAUUAUUUCUUAAUUCAAGUUGGAUUCGGAUUAGUCAUCAACUUGACUAAACUACUCAAGUUGUAACCCUACACGUACCUAAAUCUCUUGGUUAUUGAUUUGCUUAGUAAGUAGAAGUUUUAUCAUUAUUAUUAUUAUAAAAAGUGAAAUAUAUAUGAAUUAGAAUUUAGGGUUCACGUGAACCAAUAAUUCCAGGAACAUUUAGGACAAAGGUAGUUACUGAUGGGUGAGGAGGGGAGCCUCCUCCAUUUCUUAGAGAAUUGCAGGGGGAGACAUGAAUUAAUGGGAGAGAGGACCACUUGACACCCACUGAAAAUAUUCUCCUUCUGCAUGCAUGCAUGCAUGGGCAUUGCCCACAAAUGGGCCAACCCACCAUUAUUGUAACUUGUAACUUUGUAACUUAUAAUAAAUAAAUUAUUAAAAAAAAUUGGGUGCUACGUGUAGAGAUAGUGACCAACGACUACUUUCGAGUAAGUCCCUGUUAACUGACAGAUAGGUAGGGUUCAAACCAUUCCGGUCCAACAUCAUUAUUUAAACUUAUUCUCAUCUGGUAUAUCUUUAUUAUUUAUUUUUUAAAUUUUAAUUAUAUUAAAAUAAAUAUAAUUUAUAAAUAAAUAAAUAAUAUAAAAUAUAAAUUUUAUUUUUAUAAAAAAAUAUUUUUUUUUAAAGGAUUGGAACGAGCAACUUAUAUCAAACAUGUUUCCUCCACCACUUUAUUUGUACGAGGAAAAUCAUUAGACAAAUAAUAAUAUAGAUUAGAGAACAAAAAUAAUGAUUUAGGUUAUAUGUGGUAAUUAUUUUCGAGAACAAUUCUAAAAAAUAAUUUUUGAAAAUGAUUUUUGAAAAUUGUUCUAUAAUAUUUUGUAAAAUAAAAAUUUAUUUAAAAACUUAAAAUGCUUUUAACCUAUUUAUAAUAUUUUUAAAAAUAAAUUUUACAUCAACGGCUUUAUCUUUAAUUAUUCUAUAUAUUUAUAUAAUUAUUUUUUAAAACAAUCCUUAAAAAAUAAUAAAAAAUAAUUAAAAUAUAUAUUUUUAAAAUAUCUUGUUUUAUGUUAUUAAGAGGAGAAAAUAGAAUAUAGUUUCUAGUUGUUAAACGUAUUUCUUUAUUUUUUUUGUUUUGAAGAAUAAAAAAUUAUUCUCAAAAACUAAUUACUGACAAAUCAUCAUAUUUUUUUAAAAAGUCCAUUGUUGUGUAAUAAGAUGAUAGAAAGUUGAUAAAAGAAGUGGAAAAAUAGCGACAUGGUGUUUAACUCUCGAUUUUAGACUUAUGGGGGAAAUUAUGUAUUUUCAAACACAUUAAUAAAUGUGCAGCUCCCCUCUUCUUCGUGCCGCCGGUGGUGGAAGCUCCCUAUGAGGUUGAUACGCAGGUGGAGAGGCAAGUGGUGAAGGAGAUGAAGUCUUGGGCUUGGGCUUGAGUUGGGACACUAGGCCCAAGCAGUGAUGGUGAGGAAGCCUUGGGCUUGCCCAUUGGUGGCAGAUAUUGGGCUUGAGAAGCAGCCUAGUCCAAGCAUGCUGAUGGAGGGCCUCAUGCUCUCCAUGCCAGCCACCUCCAGGCCCAAUCCCAGUUUAUACUUCCAGGCCUUUUUUUUUUUUUUUUUUUUAAGUCCAUAGACAAUCCCAGUUUGCACUUCCAGGCCCGUUUUUUAAGACCAAGGCCUAUUUGAAGUCCAAGGCCCAUUUGAAGUCCAAGGCCCAUUUUUGAAGUCCAAGGCCUAUUAUUUUUCUUAUUAUUAUUAUUAUUAUGAAUUCAACUUUUAAAAUGUUAUUAUCAUUAUUAUUAUUAAUUCAACUUUUAAAAUCUUAUUAUUAUUAUUAUUAUUAUUAUUAUUAUUAUUAUUAUUAUUAUUAUUAUUAUUAUUAUUAUUAUUAUUAUUAUUAAUAAUUUGACUUUUUAAAAUAUUAUUAUUAUUAUUAUUAUUAAUUCCACUUUCAAAAUCCUAUUAUUAUUAUUAUUAUAUUAUUAUGAUUAUUAUUAUUAUUAUUAAUUCAACUUUUUAAAAUCUUAUUAUUAUGAUUAUUAUUAUUAUUAUUAUUAUUAUUAUUAUUUAUUCAACUUUUAAAAUGUUAUUAUCAUUAUUAUUAUUAAUUCAACUUUUAAAAUCUUAUUAUUAUUAUUAUUAUUAAUUCAAUUUUUAAAAUGUUAUUAUCAUUAUUAUUAUUAAUUCAACUUUUAAAAUCUUAUUAUUAUUAUUAUUAUUAAUUCAACUUUCAAAAUACUAUUAUCAUUAUUAUUAUUAAUUCAACUUUCAAAAUCUUGUUAUCAUUAUUAUUAUUAUUAUGAUUAUUAUUAUUAUCAUUAUUAUUUCAAAACCUUAUUGUUAUUAUUAUUAUUAUUAUUAUCACCCUAGGCCCUUCUAAUUCCAAAGCCCAAUUCGUUUAUAAUGUCCCAAGCCCAUUUCCAAAGCCCUUCUCACCCUAAGCCCUUCUAAUUCCAAAGCCCAAUUCGUGUAUCCAUUGUUCUGAGCCCAUUUCCAAUGUCCUAAGCCCAUUUCCAUAGCCCUUCUCACCCUAGGCCCUUCUAAUUCCAAAGCCCUUUUAAUCCCUUUUGUUUGUCCAUAUUAUUAUUAUCAUUUAUUAUUAUUAUUAUUAUUAUUAUUAUUAAAAAUCUAUACUCUAGUCGUUCAAUUUCUUAAAGUUCAUUUAUUAUUAUUAUUAUUAUUAUUAUUAUCAUUAAAAAUCUAUAUCCUUGCAGUUUAAUUUCCUAAAGUUCAUUUCUCAUUUUCUCUAGCAAAUUUCAUUUUAAUUACCGAAGCUCUAAUAUUUUAAAUUUAAUUCCCAAGACUCCAAAUUUUCAAUAAACUCCAAGAAUCCAAUUUUCACUCGAAUAGUUUUAAUCUCAUUUCAGUUCCUAAAUAAUCUUCUGAUCUUCUUGAUUUUACAUAAGCAAUAAUAAUUUUUUUCAUAAUUCUAAAAACACGGGAUUCGUGAGAUUAGCUCAUGAACAAUAAAUUGGGCUUUGUUGGGGGCCUUAUGUUUGAUCCCUUUUUUACUGUCAAUUGUCGUGCUUAAUGUAUUUUGCUUGAGCUUCGUUUUGCACUCCGAUAUGCAUGAGCUAUAUUUUGUAUCCAUUAAUUGUGCACUAAUCCCAUUUCUUGAUAGCGCAUUGUGGCUCGUGGCCGAGGUACGCAUCCACUCUCAUUCUAGUCAAUCUCUAUUGCGUGUUUUGAUUCCCAUAUUGUGCAAGAUUUAGGUGAGUAUCCAUUGACUUUCUCGUUGAUUGCCACGUUAGCUUCAUUGUAUUAGUAGAGACCCGACUUUAGGGACUUAGAGGGGUGCUAUGGUCCGUACCGUACCUUCUCGAUAAGUAACUUGACCCCCGAGCCCGAUCAGGUUUUUCACAAACCACCUUUUCCAAAACAAGGAGUCACACUUAGGGUUUUCUUUCUUAUUUUGUUUACCCUUUUAAAUAUAAAACAAAAAUAAGUGGCGACUCCAAGUCAUCUUUAAUCAACAAAUCAUUCUUUCAAAUAAAAAUUGAGCUCGCCAUCGAGUGGGAAAUGCAUGAGCCGAAAUGCGGGGUCCACAAAAUGGUAAAUUGGAUUUUCACCUCUAUAAAAUGCCAUUAUUACUUAAAAAUUUCCCAUUAAUGCACUUGCCUAGUGCUUGUAUGAAUAUACUUUCAAUUUUCUAUUUUUAAAAAUAAAAAUAUUUAUAUUUUGUUGAUAAAAUAUUAAAACUUACAUUUAAAAAAUAAUUAUUUUUAAAAAAUUAAGGUAGUAAUUUUUUUUUUACGAAUCUAGAAAUAUUACCCAUCAAAUUUUACUUUUUAUAUUAUAGUUAUUAUUUUCUUAAAAAAAAAGUAUUCAAAUCUCACGGGUGUUUGAAAAAUCAACUUAAUAACUUAAAGUGAUAUAAUUUGAAGUAAAAAAUAAUUUUAACUAAUAAGUAAAAACAAUUAACUUAUUCUUAAGUCUAUUUCUUUAUUUUACCUUUUUACUCUAUUUAUUCUAAUUGUCUUCACGAUUUCUUACUAUUAUUCCACUGUUAUUCAAUUUCUUUUACCUUAAUUAUAAUUUAUUAAGAUAAAUAUAUCAAUUUGAUGAUUUAAAAUAUGUUUUAAGUUAAUUUUAUCAAAUACUUAACACUUAAAGUAAAAAUUAAAUAAUAAGUUUUAAGUUAAUAAUUUAACUUAAAAUUAACUUAAAUCAUUAAUUAUAAGUAUUAAAUUUUACUAAACACCACUAUACUCUUUUAACUUUGAACUUAUUUUACAAACUUAUCCACUUAUAGAGAAUUUAUAUUGAAAAAAAAAAGGUGUUUGGAAAUGAUGUAAUUGAAAUUGAGGAUGCUUUGAAAUUUUAGUUUGAAGGGCGACGAGGUAUAGCCCAUCCAUUUUCUAAUCAUUACCAUCCUUCGAUCAAGUGCCAUAGAUUACCAUUUAUAAAAUAUAUAAAAUAAAAAAAUUAUAAAAAAUAUACAAUAUUUUUCUUCAUUACAUAAGAAUAUUGCAUAUAAAAAAAUUAAUUAUUUAAUUAUUAAAUAUGCAUAAUAGAAAACAUAAUGUGAUAGAGAAUAUAAUUAAUUACAAAUUUCAUACAAGAAGUUAAUUGUUUAAUUAUUAAAGAUAAAAAAAUAAUACAAAGGUCUUUGUAAAAAAUAUAUCAUAAUAGGAAAAUAUAAAUAAAUUAAUUAUAUUGAUUGAGGAUAUUUUUUUGUAUAAAAGAAGUGAAAAAUAUUUUGAAAUAUUAAAUGAGGGUAUUUUUUAUAUUUGAUAUAUUCAUCAACAAUAUAUAUAUAUAUAUAUAUAUAUAUAUAUAUAUAUAUAUAUAUAUAUAUAUAUAUAAACUUCUUCUAUAUAAUAGUACAAAAAAAAAUUGUAUGAAAAAUAAUGAUAUAUUAAAGAAAUAUAGAGAAGAAGCUUUGAACUUUAAGAAUGACCAUCUAAGCUUUACUAUAAUUAAAGCUCAAUAGUACUUGAUAAGUAAAUAAAUUAUUUUAAAUUGCUUAUAAAAAAAUAACAUAUUAGAAAAUUUUGGAAAGAGAAGGUUUAUAAAAAUAUAAAAAUGGAAUGAUAAGUAUUGGAUGCAGUUCUUGUUAUCUAUUUUUAAAAAUAGCGUUAACUUUUAUAUGAGAUACAAGAUUUCUUACAUGUUAAUAUUUAAAAGGUAAUAAUUUUAAAAUAUAUUUAAGGAAAUUGAGGUAUAAAAAAAGUUUAUAUUACCUCAUAUUUUAAAACUUUUGAAAAUGAUUUUUAAGUCAAUUCAUACUUUUUAUACAAGAGGUUCUACCUUUUGUAGAGAAUUUAUUUUUAGGAAAGUUAUAUUUGCAUCCAUCAAAUUUAUUUUUGCAUUCACCAAAUUUCUUUUUACAUCCACCCUAUUAUUACAUAGUGUAAAAGAUGAUUGUAAAAAAGAAUUUUUGUUCAAGUGAAGUAAAUUAUUUUCUCAUCAAAUUGUGAUAUAAGAAACAUAAAGAUUGACAUACGACAAGACCAAGAUGCAUAAAGAGAAAUAUAACAUAUGAUGAAAGCAAGACGGACAAGAAAACCUUAUAUGAUGGAAAAUUGACUUAAUGCAUGAAAUAUGAUUUAAAAUAGAUAUUGUUAGGAAGUGUGUCAAAUUUCUAGUUACAGUAUAUAUUUUUUUAUAGAAGGAAUAUUAUUUACAAUAUUUCCUAAGUUAACAUGUGAUUGUAAUAAGAUUUGUUAUAGAACAAGGAAAACUAAUAGAAAUAUUGCUAUAAAUAUUUUAAAUUUUGAGAGAAAAAUGUUAUAAAAGAAAGAUAAAUUUGUGAGGAUACAAGUGGAGGAUAGAAAUAUAAAGAAGAAUGAGAGACACUUGGUGGAACAAGAUGAUUUACUAGGAUGUGAAUGUGAGAAAGAGUGAGAGAUAGCUAACGGAGGCUCAUGGUUCAUGAUGGAGAUAUAAAGAGUGAGAUGUUUUGAGACUCAAUAGUUGUAUUUGUUUAUGUUCUUUGUGAUAUUCUUUAUUGAAUAGUAGAAUAUUUUCUCUCAUCCAUAGAGGUAGACAUGAUUGGCUAAAUCAUGUUAAAACAUCAUAUACCUUUGUGCACACUACAAGAAAUAGGAUUUUAGGUGACGGUCACCAAUCGUCACCAAAUCUUAUCCGUGACCAAAACCUAUUGUCACGGUCUUAUGAAACUGUGACUGAGCAUCACAGUAUGAGGCAUAACUAAAGGUAUUGGUCACGGUUUCGUAAGUGAUCAUGACCAUAUGAUUCUUUUUUUGUGACGGCCAUACAAAAACUGUGACCAAAAGUUAAGAAUACUUGGUUGUUUAUUAGUUGAUUUAGUCACGGUCAGGUAAUAAACCGUGACUAUAUGUUUACCUAUAAUCAUGGUCAAGUAAUAAAUUGUGACUAAAUGUACACUUAUAGUCACAGGUAAAGUUAGCGACCAUGACGAUAUGUAAGCUUAUGGUCAUGGUCAAGUAAGUUACCCUGACUAAAUGUCAACUUAUGGAUUAAUGUAAACUUAUGGUCAUGGUCAAUUCCUUAAUCAUGACUCAAUGUAUGUUUAUAGUCAUGAUUAAUUAAAUGAUUGUGACUAAAUAUAAUCUUAUGGUCAUGGUCAAUCCCCUACCCGUGACUAUAUGUAUGUCUAUAGUCGCGGUUAAUUAAAUGACUGUGACUAAAUAUAAUCUUAUGGUCACGAUCAAUACCCUAACCGUGACUCAAUGUAUCUUAUGGUCACAGUCAAUUCAUUAGUCGUGACUAAAUGUAGGUAUAUGGUCACGGUUAAUUAAUUAACUAUGGCCAAAUGUACCUUAUGGUCAUGGUCAAUUCAUUAAUUGUGACUAAAUGUAGGUAUAUGGUCACGGUUAAUUAAGUGAUCGUGACUAAUUGUUAGGUCUAUUAUGACAAAAUGUACACUUAUGGUCACGACUAUUAAUGACCGUGACUAAAAUUAAUCAUAUGAUGUCCUUCCUAUCCCCAAAUUUUGGUGACGGUUCAUUAUUGAUUGUGACUAAAAGUACACUUAUGGUCACAAUUUUUUAGUGGCCGUGACUAAAAUUUGUUAUAUUUAGACAUUGGUCUUUUAUAAAUUCAGAUUUCCUAAACCUGUUAUAAACCUAAACAAACUCAUUUUAGACCUGUAUAUACAAUUAAAACAAUUUUAAUAUAUUACAAUCAAUUAUCCCAAGCUAGUUAAAAACUUAUAUAUCAAUAUAAGUCAUUAAAUAACAAAAAAAUAAUAUAACAAAAGAAAAACCAAACAAACAAAGAACAAAGAGAUUCAAAUUUAGUUUCACAUUCUAACAUAAUGUAACAAAUCUACCAACCAAACAUCACAGAAUAGUCAUAGAAAGCAAAAAAAGUUAGGAGAAUCUAUCAUAUAAAUAAGUAGCAUAAUCUUCAAAAAAGUUAAGAGAAUCUAUCAUAUAAAGAUGUAGCAAAAUCUUCAAAUUUCUACUACUUUUGUUGAAAUUGUUGCAUCAUUUGCAUCAUAUGUUCUUGAAUUUGUGCUUGCAUUUUUCUUUGUAUUUCCAUCAUUUUUUCUUCAAACUCUUCUUUCACUUCUUCUCGUGUAUUCCUUUGAAUUUCUAUCAACCUCUCUUCAAAUGUUUCUUUCACAUGUGAGAGUUCCUCUCUCACAUUUGAGAGUUCUUCAGUUGUAGUUGUAAACUUUUGUUCUGCAACUAUUAGCAUCUCUUGGGCGUUUUCAAGUUGUGCUGAAAGAAUAGCUUCUGAUCGCCUUCUACUAGUAGAACCAAAGACUAAGGUAGGAGUAGGACCAAAUCCAUACCCUCGAACACGACCAUGCCUCUUUGGACCCAUGACUUGAGUAUAUAUCUCAUCAAAUAUGUAGAUGCUACAGAUGUAGAUGAUACAGAUGUAGAUGCUCCAGAUGAUGCAGAAGCAGAAGAAGAUGUCCCCUCAGGUUGGGAUAGUAAUUGCUGAAAUCGAUCUUGGAAUUAUAAAAAACAAAAAAAUAAAAUAAAAUUGUUGGACUUUUAAAAUAAUUUAGUAUGUGGCUAUGAUUGAAAUACAAGUAUAUAAAAUUUAUUUACUUCAUUACCAUAAUCUCCUUAGAAUGAUCAUCAACAGGCGUCCCAUCUUUUCUUGUGUGUGUCAGGGCAAACAUCUCAAUUCUAUUGGGCUCACUUCGAUCCUUCUUAUUUUGUGCCUAUUCUUACAAGUAAAACAAUUGAGUUAUUUAUGAUGAAUUAUUUAUUUACAAACAAAUCAUAUUAAUAAUAAAUUUCCAACCUAUUCAUAUCGAAUUUGAGCAUAACUUUUUAAUCCUGAUGUAUGCUUUAUCACUUGCUUUGCCCUAUUUGCCUUGUUUUUUUUUUUUUUUCCUGAGAUAUCCUACAUCAAUUAAAAAAUAGCAAGUCACCUAUAUAGGUAAUAGAAACAUAAUAAAAGUUAUAUACAUGAAGUAAUAGGUUAGAUAUAACUAAUAAAUAUCAUUUUAUGUAAAUAUGAGUAUCAUAAGAUACAUUAUCAAGAAAAGAUCAUUAUCUUUACCUUGGCCUCAGGUGUACCCCAAAAGUGGAUGAGCCACCUCCAAUCAUCAUCCGAUAAGUGUGGAGGUCGAUGGCAUAAUCUCUCCUCAUUUGUAUUAUAAGGGUUAUAAUACUUGGCCUUCAUUUUAUUUCUAUAGCUUCUAAACAAAUUUCCACAACAUUGAAGAAUGUAGCUCUUGCAUGUUUCUUCUAGUUCAUAUUUUUCCUGUAUUGCAUUAAAAUGUCAUGUAUAAAUAAGAGGUAUCAUUUUUAAAAAAUAACAUUACAAUUUAGAUUGAAUAGUAACUAGCAUAUACCAAUGCUAAGGCCCAAAUAUUUUCUUUCACAUCUUCACUAACAUGAUUCCAAUCUUGAACUUGGAUGGUUACCUUGUGUUGAGAUUGCACCAAUGUUCCCAUAUAGCUUGACAAUCUUUCCCCUUUUCCAUCAUAAACAACUUGCCAUCUGGUAUUGAAUCGUGUAGUUUUUUUUUUCCUGGGUUUCAUACUAAGUAAAUCUAAAUUAUGUGUUGGGCCACGUGUCCUCUUUUUGCUAGAGGAUGAACCUAUUAAGAAUAAUAAUGAAAUUAAAAGAAACAUAAUUUACUCAUCUUAUAUAAAAUUAAACAUUAAAAACCUAUCAUUCAAUAAAUUAAACAUAUGUAAACACAUUUAUCAUAUGUAAAGUUAAACAUAAUCUUCUUAAUCAUACCAACAACAGAAGGAUCCGAAGAAUCAGAAGGAUCAGAACUACUAGGAGUAGUAGUUGCAGCAGGUUGUAUGUCUGAGAGUUGUUGUAGAUUGUCCAACUCAUCUUCUGGAGACAAUAUUUUUACUCUUCCUCUUCAAUGUGAUAUUUCCUACAUAAUAAAGUAAAUUAGAAAAAGUAAUACAAAAUAAGUUACAUAAAUAAUAUGAAAUAAAUUACAAUUUGUAUAUCUGGUAAGUAUAUAUUUAUGUACUUACCAAUAUUAUUAGCUACACAUCAUCUAUAUCAUCAUCAUGAAUAAAUUCAUUAUAUCUUUCAACAAUAUUUUCUUGUUGUGAUAGUAGAACAUCCGUUUGGAUAAUUUCUCUUGCAAUAUCAUUUCCAUCCCAAUUAAUUAAAUCAUUCUCAACUAACUCAUGCACAUCACGUUCAAUAUGAAGUGUUGUAAGCUAUUGAUAUGACUCUAAAUCAUUAGUAGAUACUUUCUGAUUCAUAUCAUAAACCCCUUGGAUUUGUAUCUCUACAACGGUAUGCCAAUUUUCGUCAUUUGAAUUUUGAACAUAGAAGACUUGUUUUGCUUGAGAUGCAAGCAUAAAUGGUUCAUCUGUGCAUAUGGUACGUUCAAAAUUCAAACACGUGAACCCAUAUUCAUCAUUCUUUAUUCCCUUUCCACUAUUGAUUACAUCACACCAGUCACACUUGAAUAAAAUAACUUUAUUUCCACCAAGGUAAUGUAACUCAAUUACAUCAGUUAGCACACCAUAGUAAGAAACAUGACCAGGAAUUGGGUUCUUAUCUUUUGCACUUGCAAAACUUGAUACCUCUGUGGUCACAACAACUCCACUAUUUUGAGUUUUUUUUUCCCUUUUCUCGUUCUCUUGUGUGAAAUCUAAACCCAUUAAUGACGUAUCUUCUAUAACAUGUAACUGAUGUACUUGGUCCAUGAGACAAUGAUAGUAUGUGUUCGGAAAUUGGACCUUCAUGUCGCAUUUGUAUAAUCUAUAGAUUCAAAUAUAAGAUGUUAAUACAUACAUGUGUAUUAGAUAAUAGAACAAUUUAUGUAGUGAAUGAACUUACACGUUCUUCAAACCAACUAAUGAAUUCUCUUGUGUGAAUCAAAUCUACAUCUUGUGCACGAAUACGAGGCUUAACCCUUAUAGAUUGCUUAUGCUCUCUGAUAAAAAAGAAAAAAAUUAAUGCUCAUAAAGACCAAAAUUAAAUUUUUGUAUGAGAAUUAGUAUAAAAUUUUAUUCAAAUAAGUGUCUUACUCAAUAAAUGAUGUCACUUCCUCACAAUUAGUCAACACAUAUAAAUGUGCUUGGGACCAUUCUUUUGUGCUAAGAACACGAGAUGUUAACUUUCCUAUUGUACGUCCCAUGCAUUUGAAAAUGUUAACCCUCUACCAUUUGUUAUGUUAUUUUCAAUGACAUAAUUUCUUUCUUCACGGUCAUGCUUCAUUUCAACAUCAUGCAAAUAUCUUGAACAAAAUGUUGUACAUUUUUCUGCUAUGUACCCCUCUACAAUAAAACCUUCUGGAUGACUCUUAUUACGAACAUAAGACUUUAAUGUACGUAAAUACCUAUCAUUCCACAACAUGAUAGAUUUGUUUCAUGAACUAUAUGAAACCUAAUAUACAUAAGAUUAAUUGAAUGAGAACAUACCGCUCGAUAGGAUACAUCCAUUGAUAUUGCACUGGUCCAGCGACGUUUGCCUCACUUGCAAGAUGAAUAGGUAAAUGCACCAUAACAUUAAAGAAUGAUGGAGGAAAUAUUCUUUCUAAUUUGGAAAGUGUGACUAUUAUGUCAUUCUCAAGGUGCUCUAAUUGAUUAGUCUUUAAUAUUUUAGAACACAACUGUUUGAAGAAACUACAUCGUUCAACUAUAACAACACAAACAUUCUUAUGUAGAACUCCUCAAAUUGCAAGUGGAAGGAGUUGUUGCAUGAGAACAUGGCAAUCAUGAGACUUCAACCCAAAUAUCUUUCUUUCAUUCACUUGUACACACCGAGAGAUGUUAGAAGCAUAACCAUCUGGAACCUUUACUUCUUUAAAAAAUUUACAGAAUUUUUUUUUUUCAUUUGAAGUUAGUGAAUAGCAUGCAACAGGCAAUAUAACCCUAUUUUCUCUUUGUAUGGGGUGAAGUUGAUCUCUGAUACCCAUAGCUUGCAAGUCAAGACGACUAUUGAAGUUAUCCUUCGAUUUACCGUUGAUACUCAACAAAGUGCCAACUAUACUAUCACAUAUAUUCUUUUCAAUAUGCAUUACAUCCAAAUUGUGACGCAAAAUGAGGGUUUUCCAAUAUGGCAAUUGGAAAAAAAUGUUUUUUUUUUUUUUCCAAUUGUGCUCAAGUUCAACAUGUUCUCUUUUUCUUUUUGUUGACAUCUUAUUUUUUGAUGUCUUCCCUAAAGUAAUAUGUUCCAUUCCAUUUAAUUGAUGUAGAACAUUUUCCCCAGACAAUUGUUUAGGUGCUGCUCUAUGCUCUUCAUUUCCAUCAAAGGACUUUUUAUCACGUCGAAAUCUAUUAUCAAUCGAAUAAAAUCGACGAUGACCCAUGUAACACCAUUUUUGUCCGUUUUGUAAUCGAAAUGAAGAACAAUCCUUAUUACAAAUAGGACAAGCAAAUUUCCCUUUAGUACUUCAACUUGAAAGAUUUGCAUAUACAGGAAAAUCAUUGAUGGUCCAUAAUAUAGCUACACGCAUACAAAAAUUUUGUUUUGUUGAAGCAUCAUAUGUUUGAACUCCAACGUCCUAUAAGUCAUUCAACUCAUCUAUCAAUGGUUAUAAGUAUAUGUCAAUGUCAUUCCUAGGUGCAGUUGGACCAGGAAUAAGUAGUGACAACAUGAAGAAUGUUUGUUACAUACACAUCCAAGGUGGUAAGUUAUAUGGAAUAAGAACUACAGGCCACAUGCUGUAUGAAAUGGACAUAUUCCCAAAAGGAUUGAACUCAUCACUUUCUAAACCGAGCCUAACAUUUUGAGGUUCUAGUGCAAAUGAAGGGUGUACGUUAUCGAAGUUUUUCCAUGCUAAAGAGUCCAUUGGAUGCCUCAUCAUCUCACCUUCCAUGCGACCAUCAACAUGCCAUUUCAUGUGAGAAGCUGUCUUAGAUGAUACAUAUGACCUUUGAAGCCUUUGUUUUAAGGGAAAAUAAUGCAAGACCUUAGCAUGAAUUUUUUUUUCUUUGCUGAAUUAGUGAACUCAUAUGUAGAAUGAUCAUCACUUGAUUUCCAUCUAGAGACACCACAAACAACACACUCAUUUGCAUUUGCAUGCUCUUUUGAAUACAACAUACAAUUUGAGGGGCAUGCAUCAAUCUUGAUAUAAUGAAGGCCAAGGUCACGAAGUAUUUUUUUUGCUUCAUAAUAGUUGCUUGGCAAUGUCUCACCCUCAUGAAAUGCCUCAUUCAACAAUUCAAGCAACAUUGUAAAGGACUUAUUGCUCCAUCCAUUAAGACACUUCAUAUGAAAUAAUCUUAUGAUAAAAGACAACUUUGUGAAUUUUGUACACCCUGGAUAUAGUUCUUGCUUUGGUUCUCUUAACAAAUUAUAAAAUUUGUUUGCAUCCUCAUUUUCUUUUUCAAACUCCUCAUGCACAUGUGGACUUCUUUUAGAUUUCUCAUUUGGCAUUGGCAUUCCAAAUGCAUCAUUUAACAUUUCUUGCAUCUCAUCAUGCAUAUCAGACUCAUUAGUGCUAGUAUUUAUAGGUUCGAAAAACUCAUAUUCCUCAUGCAUCAACCAUCGCACAUAAUUUCUAGUUAUCCCAUUGUCCAACAAAUGGUCAUACAUGAUUUCUUGCUUUUGCAUAAGACAAUUAUUGCAAUGAAUGCAAGGACAUGAGAGCAUUUCUUUUCUAGGUGCAUUGCUAAAGGCAAAGUCUAAGAACUCCAAAACUCCUUUAUGAUAUUCACUACUUACUCUUGACUUCUACAUCCAAUUCUUAUCUAUUGCCAUUGUUCUCGUACUUCCGCAAAUUAAACUCUUCAGUCACAUAACAAUGAAUCUUCAUACCAACUUAUAAUGAAUGUGAUAUGUUUUUUAUCAUCUCAAAUUCCUAGAUUUGGUAGUGGUUCCUAUCCCAUUUGGAAAUACAUAAUCACUACGAAUCAAUCACUAACAUGCUUAGUUUCAUUUUGAUAAAAUUUCGGCAGCAUUUCCCCAUAGUUCUCCAAGUACACGAAUUGGCUAAGGUAUAAACAUAUUAUUAGUUAGCUUAACUAAGCUGCUAACAAUAUGUCACCUUCUCCAAAUAUGCACCCAAAGAACAAGGGGAAUCACUGUCAAAACUUAUUAAUAUGCUAAAGCAUAGGCAUGUGAUUUCGUAGAUAUUAUGUAUUUCCAAACCGUCCAAACAAACAAUUCAAGCAUCAUUUGCAAACAAUUCUACCAAUCAUAUACAAAACAUAUAGGUUGAAAACUUGAAUAUGACCACAAUAAAUAAUCAUAUCCAUAAUUUUACAACUUAUAUGUUUUUAGUAUAUGAUAAAAGAGACAUUUGUCAAGCAAGGAUACUUGAACGAGAUUUUUAGGGUUUUCUAAAAUGAAAAUGAGUAAAUGAUAAAAUUAAUGACAAAUACUAUUAGAAAAGAAAUAGAUAAAAACAAACAAUGAGACUAACACAUUUGAUAAUUUAUAGAAAUGAAUUGCUAAUAUUUCUAUUGCAUAAAAUCAACGAGGGUUAGUUCACAGAUAACAAUAAUAAAAUAUAAAAUCAUAGAUAAGGCCUCACAAUAGAUGCAACAUAUGCACAUCUUAGAUCAUGAAGUAACGAAAGGGUAAGGUAUGAAUAAGAUGAAACAAAAUACAAUAAACAUGCUUAAAAAUUCAGAAUUGGCUAACAAGUAUGCUCUCUAAAAACUUAGUCUAAAUAAAAUACCAAAUGAGAAAUUUUAAUCUUAAGUGUGAACAAAAUUAAAAUUUGGACUUAAAAUCCUAACUCUUUAUUACACCCCAAGUAGUUUCAAGAAUCAAGAUUAUAUUUUGGUAUUAUUAUUAUUAUUUUUUCAAUAAUUUUGAUUUAAAAUCGAAUUGUGAAAAGUGUACAAAGUUAUAAGUAUUUUCAAAAUUUCAAUAUACACAAACUUGUAAGUAUUUGGAAAUUUCAUAAUUUUCUAAUUUGGGUACAAAUUUUUUUUUUUUAAAUAUUCCUAUUCUUUUUCUAGAAUAGGUUUGAUAUUGUUAUUAUUAUUAUUUUUACUUGUAUCACUUUUAAAAAUUUUUAUUUUUUACUUUUGACAAUACUUAAAAAUGUAAAUAUUUCACUAAAUUAUGUAUGUUUAUGCCGAAGUAAACCAUAAAAGGGAAAUUUGAAGAUUCAGAGCUUCAAUUUGUCACAUUUGCCUAAAUUUCCUUCACAGCCAAACUAAGGAGAAAAAGAAAAUAUAAAAAAAAGCUCAAAUACAAAUUCCGGUAUAAAAAUGGAGUCUGACUCUAAAAAUCCAGAAGAUAAAAUUUUCAAAUUUUAGAACUUCAAUUCCUCGUACUUUCCUACUUAAAUUAUGACUAUGAUUAAUUAAUUUUACAUAAUUUUAUUACAACAAAAUGUAAAGAUGAUGUAUUUCUAGCUUCAUGUUAUUACAUAUUAAAAACAUGUGAUUAAAAUUAAACUUUUUGUCCUAAAUUAUUAAGGUGAUACCAUAUAAACUCUUAAUUUGAGUUGGUGAUAUAUAUAAUAAAAUUUGAGUCAUUAAAUAAUAAUAAAUAUGAGUAAAUAAAGAAAGAAAUAACUACUAGAUAUAGAGUAAGAAUGUAUUUGACGUUAUUUAUGUGUAAAGUGUUUUUAGUGAAAAUUUCUUUUUGAAACGAGAAUCAUAUAUCAAAUAAUUUUUAUUUCAUAAAAAUCACAAAUGAUUUUUCAAUAUCAAAAGUGAUUUUUAAAAUUUUUACAAAUGUUUUCUAAAUUUUGUCAAAUAUCUAUUUUUUUUUUCCAGAAACACUUUUUAAACUAAAAACACAUCAUAAAAUCAUUAUCAAACGAAAUCUAAGUAAGAAUAUAUUAAUUGCUUAUUAAUAAUAACUUUGCAUAGUAUUACAUUAAUGAGUUAUUUUCAUAGAUUUUUCUAUUUUUUCAUCUUGUCUCUAUCAAUCUUAAAUUUGGUACAUGUGACACCUUUGUAUGAGGUGCAUGUGACCCCUAAUUUGAAUGUAAAGAUGAUUGCAAUAACCGCAAAAACAAAAUAAGAUGCGAUAUUACUUGGUGAUAUGACACUACAUGGAAUCAAGAACUUUCUUUUUGAAGAAUAAAUUCAAUGAGAAUUUAAAAAAAAAAACUAGUCCUGUUUGGUAAAAACCUAAAAACUAUUAUUUUUAAAGGUAAUAUACCCAAACAUGGUAAUUAUGUGGUCUCCACAAGGUGUCAUAAGAAUUUAUUAUUUUAAUUUUAUUAGUGAUUAAUAGAUUAGCACUAAAAAGGAAGUGUAAUUGGGGGUGGAAUCCGCUGGUCUACAAUCCUCCAUGGUAAGAACAAAAUCAUAAAAACAACAAUUAAUAAAAAUGGACGAUGUUUUGGUCGGCAGCCAAAUUUCAAGUAGUUCAUUACUUGUGUUGAUUAGAUUUAAACAUAGGGUUGAAGCCAAUAUAAGAGAGAAACAAAGGAAAAUAGCUUUGUUAUUUAGGUAUUACAUAUUAAUGUUAAUGUUUUAGAAUUGGUGAAAUUGAGUAUAACUACUCCUCGUCUGUAGCUACUGCCCAACCUGCAAGAAUAUGGCAAACACCAAUAAUGAUAUAGUUGAUGCCAUGGAAGCUAUGGAAAAAUAACUGCAGAACUGUGCAAUUUUAGAUUGGUUUUCCAUCAUCAAAGCUGUUAAUGCAUCAUCAAAGAUUCAAAUUUCCAACCAAUUCAUGAGCAAAACUAAACCCCAAUCCGAAAACCAAAUCAACGAGAAAUAAUCAAAACCCCAAAAUCCAAUCCAUCCAGGGUGGAUUUCAUAUUUUGUUCGCACUCUUCCUCAAAUCCCCCACCCUCGUGAAAUACACCACCAAAACACAACCCAGAUCCUAAUAAACCAAAAAUCCAAACCUGGGCCCUAAAGGACCUCCCAUAAAAAUCUAAUUCAGAAAGAAAACAACUUAAUCAACGCAGCAUAAAUUGGAACCUAAGAAAAAAGUAAGUCAUUUUUUCCAUAAAUUUUCUCCCAUAUUUUGAUUAUUUAACAUGAGGGCAUUUUUGUCCAAAACAAAUAUAUUUAGGGUUUAAAAAAAAUGAAUGGAAUUGAGGGAUAUAAUUUUAUCAUUUUAAUAAAAUAUUCUAUAAAAAUUCCACAACAAAAUUGAAAUAAAAAUAAAAAUAAAAAUUAAGAAAAAUAAAUUUACCCAUAAAUAAACCUAAUUUAUCAAUUACAACUAAUCCUAUAUAUCAUGGACAUUACCUUUUAUAAUUUCACAUAAAUAAACCUUAAUAUUUGCUAGUUUACUUUUUUGUUCAAUUUUUUAAUCAAUUAUAUCAUUUCACCCUUUCAACUUUCCAUUUCAAUAGGAAUAUCCCGAACUAUUAAUUAUAAAAAAUUUUACAACUUAUAUGAUACUUUGUAGUGUGAUUUAAAAACAAUUUUAUUAUUUUUAAAAAUAAAAAAUUAUUUUUAAAAGUAUAUAAUUAGAAAUUGUUUUUAUAAAUAUUUAAAAUCUAAAGAAAGAUAUUUGUUCCACAUAUUUUCAUAAACUUAGUUUUAAAUAAAAAAUAAAAAUAAAUUUUAAAAAUAAAUUUCAAACGCGCCUUUAAGGAAAAUUCCAAACUAUAAUUUUUUUUAUUAUAAUUUUUAUUUUAAUAAAUAAAUGUUGUUGGCAACGUUAAAAAAAGUAAGACCAAGACUGACCUUUCUUAACGCUGAAGUAUAAAAUUAAAGAUUGAGUGAAGUCAUCAUGUCAACAUCACAAUUUUUUUAAAUGAUUUUCUUCCUUCUUAGCCCAACCACCCUUCCUUUGUAGGCCAUUGAGCCAAGAAAAGAUAUAAAAAGAAAAAAAAAAUCUAAACCAAGAAAAAAAAAUAAUAAAUUGAAAAAAUAUAUUGUUACAUGUUUAGUAAAUUUAAGUUUACUAAAAAAGGAAGUAACUACAAUUUAAUAAAAUCUUCUUAUAAUAACCGAUCUUAUUAUCAUCCUAAUUAAAAAAACAUAUCAAUAGCCAACCAAAUUCUUAAUGUCUUUACAUAAAACCUAUUAUUAACAAUAUAAAACCUAUUAUCAUUAACCUAUUAUUAAUAAACCCAUUAUAAAGAUUAUUUUGAUCUUAAUUGUUAAUAGUAAAAUUUAGUUAUCACUUUUAUUGAUAUUUUAAGGGACAAUUGUGUUUUGGACCUAGUUGGAUCCAAAAAUUAAGAUUUGGUCCAUAUAAGUUCACUAUUUAAGCCCAAGACCUAGAGAAAGUGUGAAAAUUGAGAAGAAGGAUAUGAAUUUUUUAUCUUUCUAAAAAUGACCUUUAUUGACUAUGAAAAAAAAAGAGUAGAAAAAGAUUAAUUUAUAUUUUAUUCCUUUUGCAAACCCCAAUAAAAUUUAAUAUAAUUUAGUGAUUUGGAAAAAAUUACACUAUUUUCCAAAAAAAAAUUUAUUAUUAUUUAAAAAUCAAACAUCUUGGAAAAUAUAUAUAUUUAAAAUUGUGUAUACAAAAAAUAACUAAAAAUAUGUCAAAUUUAUUUUUUUUAAAUGAUAUAUUUUUAUAAUAUUGUGGACCCCGCAUUUCGGCUCAUGUGUUUCCCACUCGAUGGCGAGCUCGAUUUUUAUUUGAAAAAUUGAUUUUAUUAUUGAUUAAGAAAAUGACUUGGAGUCGCCACUUAUUUUUGUUUUAUUUUUAAAGGGUAAACAAAAUAAGAAAGAAAAACCCUAAGUGUGACUCCUUGUUUUGGAAAAGGUGGUCUGUGAAAAAUCGGAUCGGGCUCGGGGAUCAGGUUACUUAUCGGGAAGGUACGAUAAAUACCGUAGCACCCCUCUAAGUCCCUAAAGUCAAGUCUCUACUAAUAAGAUGAAGCUGACAUGGCAGCCAAUGAGAAAAUCGAUGAAUACUCAAAUCAAUCAUGCACAUAUGAAUAUCAAAACAUGCAUAUAGCGGGACCAUAAUAAGAAUGAGCGCAUACCUGGGCAACGAGCCAUCAUACGCUAUCUAGAGAGGGGGUUAGUGCACAAUUAAAGAAUAAUCUCAUGCAUAUCAUAAAGCAGAAUGGAUCAAUCAAGUGUGAUACUCAAGUCAAUCAAUCAACCAAUCAAUCAUCAAAAUUAUGUAUGUGGGGCCUCCACCAAAGCCCGUUUAUUUUUGCAUGAACUAAUUCCAUAAAUUCCAUCACUUGGAAUUACAGAAUUUAAUUCAUGCUUAUUUAAAAUCAUUUUAAAAAACAGAGGAGAUAUGAGUAUUGCUCCCCAGAAAAGAAAUGGUGGCAAAGUUUUAUUGAAAAUGAGAUUUGGGAACCUAAAAAACCUAAGGAUGAAAAAUGAGAGAGUUAGAAUUAUUUGAAAACCAAAAUUUGAAAAAGGUUAUUUAUAAAAUGGAGUUUCGAAAAAAUUAUUUUCACAAUUAAAGAAUGAGGAAAUAAGAGAGAGCAAUGGCAGAAACACAGGUAUCUUGAAGAUGGCCAUGCAGUUCAUGCAUAAGUGGAAGAAAUAGGAAUUGACGACCACGUAGGUAUGAAUCCCAGAGUGUAAUUGCGUUCACUAUAUCAAUAGCCCAGCUUCAACUGAGUCAUGUGAGCUUUCUGUACUGGCUGGCCAUCCACAUACUUCACCACCCUUACUAACGUAUCCAUCAUGAGGAAUACUUGACUGAAUUCCAUAACUUCCAGGAGUCUAAGGGCGAUCAAAUUUCUAUGCUGUAUUUUCAUACUUCGAACUCCUAUUAAUAUCACCAUAGCCAGUCCCCAUGUAACCAUUUCACACAUCUCACAAGGCUUCAAUAACCUCGACAGUGUAAGCACUAGGUUCAAAUUUCCUGCAAGCUCUAGAGCGAUUGUAUGACCGAAACCCACUUGAAUCUUCAUCAUUCAAAGCACUACGAUUGGGAUCAGCCAUUGGAUGAAUAGGGUUCAAAUAUUACUUACUCCCCAUUUCAACCAAUGAAUGACGCACCAAGAAGCCUUGUAGACGGCCACAAUGCCUAGUUUUCCUCAUCGCGAUCAUCCAGAACUGAGUCAGCAAGCUUCACUCCCUUCUUACAAUGGACCUUGACCCACUGGCGUUAGACUGCCUGUACACAAAAUCAUCUAUCCAGAAAGCCUGCUGGUGAAGUCCAUAUUGUGCCCGAUGUACAUGAACCUCAUUUUUUAGGACCGGGCUCCUUUGAUGCCCUCCAUUGUUGCCUUGAGAGCAACAACAUUGACCAAGUUUGCAAGAUCAGUACCUGAAAACCCAGGGGUUCCUCUAGCAAUCAUCAUCAGAUCAACAUCAUCCUCUUUCAAAACCUUUGACAUAUUAGAUUCCAUAAUCUGCCUCCGUCCUUCUACAUCUGGGUUAGAGACAACAAAUGUGAUGAUCAAACCGACCAAGUCUCACCAAUGCCUCGUCCAUCUUACUAGUCUGAGCAUGGAUGGGCGAUGUUGAUCUACCAUGAUGUUUGGCCAUUAGAGGAAAUAUCGUUCAUUUUUUCUAAACAUUCUGAUAUCGACUUUUGUAUUGAUUGAGCGACUUCCUUAAGUUGGUUGAUUAUCACUUGAAAGCUAGCUAAGUGUUGUUGAUGUUUAGAAAGAGUUGCUGCUAAAGACUCAGCAUGUUCACUUGUACCACCAUCACACGCGCCUCUUAGAAGCUCUGGACCCUUUCCAUCAUUAGAUUUUUCCGGAUGAAGUGAUUGUUUAUGAAUACGUUGUAAAGUAUGAGUCUAGAGCCUGAUACUUUCAGCUAUAUCAACAGUUGGGUGGACUCUUCCACUUCUAUCAUCCACAUAAAGUGUGUCAUCAUUUACUUGUGACUGAGAUGAAUCUAACCUGUUCUUCUGUCUGUCCCUAGUUACAUUGACAUAAGAUUCAUCAGUCUAUUCUCUGCCAUCCAAAUGGCUUGAAGCUAGAUCACUCGAUUGGACAGUUAAUACAUCCGUAUGAGGAAUCUGAGAACUUUGAUCCAUAGCUGCAAGUAAAGAUGACCCAGAAAUGCGAUACCUAUGCUCCAUGUGAGCUAUCAAGUCCUCAAUAGGGCUUGAUGUAAGAACUUCAUAUUGACUAUUACGAGCUAGCAACGACUCCCACAAACAAGUAGCCUUUGAAACUAAAUGAGAAUUCUGACUUGAGCUCGUAGACAUAAGGAAUGGGACAUCGACCAGGACUUCAUCAGAGAGUAGUGCAUCCAAUUCUUUCUUGGAUUCUGCAAACCUCUCCUUAUUAUAGGCAUCCACCAGGUACAUGACAACAUCCACUUUGGCAUAAUAAACCUUCCAGACUCCGCGAGCAAUCUGAUGCCCCCCCAAACCGAAGACCUUAAACUGGAUUUUCCCAAUACUCAAUUCUUCCAACGUCGAAUACUGAGUCAACUGAUGCGGAACCAAUCUCUCAUCCUUCAACAUGUGAAGCAACAUCGUUUUUCCGGCAUUAUCGAGACUUAGAAACAAGAUCUUGGCCUCUUUCUGUCACAAGCCAAGGGAGGCGAGAACGCCAUAAAACCAAUCGAGAAUAAACAUGGCUGAUGGGUUUCUCACGAGAAACGGACUCCAAAGUUCAACAGAUCAACUCAAGCUGAUCACAAUCAGUAAAACAAAGGACCAAGUCGCUGGAGAAGAGAGUGUCGGAGGUCAAACAGUCAACGACUACGCCAGAGAUUCCUGUGUUUCGAUUGGUGCAAACGCCUUCUGAUUCCCAAGUAGGCAAGCCCCGUUUGAUGUCUCAUUUUGGAAUAUACCCAUCAAUCAUCACAUCCUAUGGGUAUGGAGAUGAUGAGAAAGUAUUAAAGGUUCCGGUCUAGUUCACGGGUAUGGAGGAUCAAUAAUCUCAGGUUUGCUCUGCAUGUCACCAAAAUUUAUAUUCUCAGAUGCCAUUACCAGCAGGGCUUGCUGCUUACUCUCUAAAUCACGUUUUCUGCCCUGUGCUUGCCUCUGGAGAUCAAUUCAAUGAUUUCAGAGAAUAUCCGAAGAAAUCGAAGCCACGUGAUCCUUUCAAAUAUCAGGAGUAUAAGCAGGUGAUGGUCGGUCUGACUCAUGGGGUGCAGCAUGUGUGGAUUGGAGUGACGGAUUAGAUGAGAGAAACUGUUAUUGGCGAUGGUUAUGAAGGGUUGGGCUUGGAGUGGCAUUAGGGAUGAUGAUAAAAGGGGGUUAUAUGAGUAGGCUUGAUGGAUGAGCUUCAUAGAUAUACAAGGUGGAAGAAUGAGGGUGGUGACUGCAGGGUACAUGAGAUGGGUAUGAGUAAGUUUAGAGAGAGGAAAUGGGUACAGGAAAGUGAGCCAUGGAUGUGACGGAAUUGGUGAGAAAAAUGAGUGGAGAUAUGUUGAGUAUGAGGGAUAUGAAGGGUGAUGAGAAGUGGGUUAGUGGUGAUGUGAUAGAUAUGUGAAUUUGAAAAAUGAGAAAGGUGAUAGGUAAAAGAAAUUGGUAAUGAUCAAAUGGUAAAGUGGUGGGGAGUGGGUCCAAGCAUGCCAACAGCUCAUUAAUCUCAUCUGGAUUCUUCCUGCUGUUCGAUUAGUUGCACUUUGUCAAAUUUAGACCCAAUUGGGACACACACAUUUGAUUUCCCAUUAGAGUUCCUAUGAUCUGAUUUUGGAGCUGCUUUAGAGAAAAAGCUCUCAACCUCUGGCAUAUCAAUCUCUAGAGCCUUGGAAGCUUCACCAGAAUUUACAAAUAUCACAAAAUUAUCUAUGCAAUUAGCAGCCAAGGAUCCCUCCCCAAUAAAUCUGGAACCAAGAUUUGUCAAGCAAUCCUGCAAUAGGAGCAACGCCUUUUUCAUAUUCUUUGAGCUUCACACAGAGGUCAUGAAUGAGAGUCCCAUUUCUUCAACCAAAGCAUGUCCGGACAAAGCUCCUGGCUUGUUGAUUUUGUUUCCCAGUACUAGCAAAGGAAUACCAUUCAGUGAGGUUUGUUCAGUAGAUCGUGGACAUCUCUCAUUGGCAGUUAUAAGAGGUAAUGCACCAUUCGUAAUUGCUGCUCCAUUGACAUUUGCCACCAGUUCCAAAGUAACCAAUGAACAAAUGGGUUUCUGAUCCCAAAGAACUCCACACCAUCUACCUUGCAUGAAAGUCUCAUUCAUUAGAAUUGUAGUUUAUUACAACAAUGUCACUCUGGCCAUUCAACAUCAUUCCAGCAAUCAUCGAAUUCCAUGUUUCUAGGUUCCUGCUGCUACUCGAUUUUGUGAAUAUGUCAUAAGCCUAAUGCCAAGGGCCACAUUUGGAAUACAUGUCCAGAAGUGCAGCUCCCACCAUAUUAUCAAAAUUGAUCUCAAUUUUCACCUUGAACCGAUGAAUCUGCCUACCAAAUCAACCAUACAAAGUUUCGUACAUGCAGGAAGAACUGAAAUCAGUGUCACCGAAUUGGGUACUUCACCUGAAGACUCCAACAAGUCCUUAAACACACCAAAGACCAAAUGCGGAGUCCCCUUUUGCAAAAGCCCUGAAUUCCUAAACCCUUCUGCUACCGACCUGAUCACUCUCAUGUUCAGCUUUUGGUGAUUUACCAUCUACAGGACCACUCACCAGAGCUUUCCUAGAGCGCAUUUGCUUAUUUGCCACAGGAAUAUUUUAAACUUUUCCAAUAGGUGAACCCAUUCCACCUCAUAAAGUAUCCAUGCUCAACUGCUAUUCUUAACAUUUCACAUGGGCCAAGAUACUACAUAAGCAUUUUAGUGCCUUCUGUCUUACCAGCCCCACUUUCUCCACUUACCAAAAUGGAAUGGAUCACUCCCUCAUUAACUUGUGAUACCUACUAGGAAAGAGGGGCUUUGGUUUGUUAGGAUGCAUGGAAACACAGUGAAACAUGGAGCUUGAAACCCACAUUUCGAACUAUUUCUGUGACUACGAGGUGACUAAACCAAACAUACUUUCCUAUAGCUUAGCUGUCUCAAUAUUUACAUGGCUCUCAAAUGGCUGAAAUCUUACAUCAACUAUUUUAGCAUCUUCAAGAAGAGCAAUCUGCCAUUUCAACAUUUGGCUUCAUGAAUCUGAACAAUUGAGAAAGUGACAAUCAAGAACUCUAGAAAAGGAUAGAUUCGGAAUCUGUGACUUAUCUUAGAAGAGGUGAUGCCAUAGAUAUAUGCGCUCUUCCAUAAAUACCAAAACAGUAUAAUCACUUUUCAACAACUUCCCAUAAUCAUCAAAGUGGAUAAUUCCAGGAAGACCCAAUUUUCUCGACUAUUUAGAGCUGCCUUAAUGAGUCUUCUUCUCGCGGAACAUCUGACUGCAAAGUAGCAUCAGCUGAUCCAUUUGUGAUCUACUUUCUUACAGCCAUUACAUUGAACGAGGCCCAGAAGCAAAGUAUUGGUCACAACAAAGAAAAAUCCAUUGAAAAGAACACAAAAGAAAAUGAGUAAAGAUGAUUUUCAGAGGUUUCACUUCAUGAGUCAUCCGUGAACCCUCUGAUUAGGUGAGAAAAAUCAUUUCAAAGGCAAUUAUGGGCAUUUUCAUAAUAGGAGCAAAACAUACUAAGAUUAACAGUGGUAAACAUAUAGGUAGGAUUAUGUUUCAACAAGCAAUAAGUGGCCUUCAUCAUCCACCCUAAGCAAAUCAACAAAUAUUCAAAUAUCAACAAGAGACAUGGGAGAGUGAUAAACAGCCAAAAACAAACAAUAAACCUGUAGCAAUCAUACUUGAGGAAGUCCUUUUACUCCCGAGAUGCUUACCUCCAAACUUGUUUCUUCUCCACUUUGCUACCUUUAGAAAAUGAAAGAUAUCUCCUCCUAUUCUCACCAGCCAGCUUCCCUUGGUUUCCCUCUCCUGAGCUCUACUCCCCUACCUCACACUUAGCCUCAUUUUCCCGCUACUCCUUUCUAGCUUCCUCCAAAAAUCUCCCUCCAACCAGCAGCCAAAAAGCCCUUCUGAAAAGCACCACGGUUCUUGCAGCUGCCGACCACCUCCCCCUCUCUCAUACGCUCCUCAUAACAGAAAAAUGCUGCCCUCUCUGAAGAUCCUUCCAGGUGUCCACCAUUCAUUGGCUCCUUCAACUCCACUACUUGAUUCACUGAAGGCCAAUUAUGGGAUGACACGGGGCUCCUUGAGAGCCCUCCACCUGCAAAGAAAAAAAUAUCCUGUAGAGGUGCCAAAGAGUGAACCCCAAAUGGGGGUCUACAAAUAUAUUUUUAAAAAAAUUAGUUUUCUAAAAAUAAUAAAUUUUCACAAUAAUUAUUAAUAAAGAAUAAAGAUAAAAAAGUUUCUCAAACAUUAUGGUAGAAAAUAGUUUUGAAGGGUAUAUUGGUCUUUUCAUAUUUUAUAUUCUCCCCAUCAAUUAUGCAACUUUUAUGGGACAAAUCUUAAUUUUUGGGUCCAAAAGACAAUUGUCCCUACUUUAAAUACAAUAAGAAUUAUUUAUCAUAUAUAAAAUCAAAAUUGUUUUUUAAUUUGCUAACUCACUUGCAUUUAAACUUUUUAUCAAAUAAUAUCAAAUUGAACAAUCAUAUUUUUAAACUAAUAUAUUAAACUUUAUUUUACUUCUUAUUAAAACAUUAAUCAUAACAAGGAAAUUAAAUAAUUUUAACUAAAGAAAAAUGGGUAACACAUUAAUUUGUUUCUUAACUUAAAAAAAAUAUAAUAAUAUAACUUUAAACUUUUUAUAAUUAAUAAGAACUAUUAUUAUUAUUACUAUUAAUAAUAAUUUCUAUGAUAUAUAUAUAUAUAUAUAUAACAGGUAACCCCAAAAUGGUUUAAAAUAAAUAAUAGACUUUGGUCACGAUUGUGUGAACCCCGUGACCAUAGGUUCAAAAUAUUUAAAAUAAACCUUUAUGCAUUUGGUCACGGUCAGUGUGAAAUUUGUGACUAUAAGUUAGUGACGGUUUCACAAAUAACCGUGACUAAAACAUCAUUUGUUACACUUUUUGUCACGAAUGAUAAAAUUACCGUGACUAAAAUUAUUGGCGUCAAAAUUUCCCUCCCUAAAUUUACAAAUAGUCACUGUUUCAAAUAAAUCUGUCACUAAAAUACCCUCUCAUCAAUCCUUUUAGUGACGGUGGAUAAAAUUACCAUGACUAAACAUGUUUUUUUUUUUACCCAAAUUAAUUAACACAUAUAGUCACAAUUUUACGCUGCCCGUGACAAAAUAAUAUCUUUGGUCACGAAAUUUGUGACCGUGACUAAAGAUUCAUCAUUAAAAACCUAUUUUCUUUUGUAAUGGCAUAACUUACUUUAUUUUUGUGUUCUUCCAUUAAUAUAAUGACAUUAGAGCUUUUCACAACAAUUUACACAUCCACUUUAAAAUAUUAAGCUUAUUAAUACAUGCACCUACAAAUUUCUAAUAUACCUACAACACUCUUUUCAUUCGUCUUUUCAACACCCAUCUUCUUCUUACUUUUUCUCUUUAACUUUUUUUUCUUAACAAUAAAACAUAAAAGAAAACAUCUUUUAAGACUUAUUCUUUACAUAAAUUUUGACAAAAAUAUGGUAAAAAUAAUUUUAAAAAAAACUAGGAAGAAUUUAGAAAUGAUUUAAAGAAUGAAAUCGUGAAAAAGUGUAAGAGAAAUGAAACACACACACACAUUCCAUAAUGUCCAAACUUGGAAGGUCGGAUAUUUGAGGAGGCAUCCAAACUUGGAAGGUUGGAUACUAUGCAAAUGUUCGGCUUUAAUGUGUCAAACACUAAGAAAUGAGAUAAAUAUAUAUUUCUCCUUAAGGUAGUUUGAUAAUUUCAACUAAGGAUGUUUUUGUGCUAAAAAAAUCCAUUAUUAAGAUGAAUGCAAAGAGAAAUUGGAUAGAUGCAAAUAUAAUUUUCCUUUAUUAUUUAUUUUUUUUAAAAGUGUAUCUAAAUGGGGUUAAGUAAAAAAAUUCUUUAUAAGAGGGAAUAAUGUUUAUUAAAGAAAUAAGAAAAGAAAAGGUUAAAAAAAAAUUCUUUACAAAAGGGAAUAAUUAAUGCAUAUUAAAGAAAUAAGAAAAGAGAAGGUUGAAAACCACUUUUAGGAUACGUAAAAUGCUUUUUCAAAUGCUGCCAACACCUAGAUGGCGUUUGUUUUUUCAACUUUUUUCUAAUAGUAAUUUGCUUUUAGACUUUAGAUUGUUUAUUUUUCUAUUUUUUCAUGACUUAUUAUAAACUUUUUAUUGAAUAGAAAAAGCCAAAAUUUUGGUUUUUUCUAAAUGAAAAAAGUAACAUGUUGAUUUUUCUUUACUUUUUAAUGUUUAAUAGAAAUAAAAUAUUAAGCAAACAAACAACCUAAUACUUAACACUAUUAAUUAUUAAAAUUAUAUUUGGAAUUAAGUAAAAAAAAAAAAAAAAAACCAAACAAACACCACCCUAGCCAAAACCUAUUCCAAUAUCUCUAAAAGAGGAAUUUUGAUUUUUGUGUUACAAAAAUUGGUUUUUCACUAUUCUUCUCCACCUUUUGAUUUUGAUGGAACUUUCUAAAAUUUGGUUUAUAAACACUUUCACUUACAGAUACAAUAGAAUAAAAUGUUUUGCAUGUGCCGCAUUAGACUUCAAUCUUGCCUUAGUCUUCAUCUUCCACAACUGUCAAUUCAAUUCUAAUUACAUUUUCAAGUAUCUAGCCAAGCCUUUGGGUGCCUUUCCCAAUCAUCCCAUGUCUCCAUCUACUCUCUAAGAUGCAUUUUCUUUUAAAGCUCUUAAAAACUCUCGAAUUCUCCCAAAUUUCUGUUCAUUAGGAUUUUAUUGCCCAUAUUAGCUCCAAAUAGAGGCUUUAACAAGAAUUCAAAUGAAAAAUGAACAAUUAACACUAGAAAACAUGAAGAAACCCUUGAUUAAGCUAUAAGAAAUAUACAUUUUUAGUGUUAAUUAGUCUUGGGGUUUUUUUUUAGUUUGAGCUUUCUAUUUCCAUUGAUUUUGGUCAUCAUAAAUAUAUCCUUGAGUUUUGUUUUCAGUUUAAUCUUUUAGGUUCCAUCGAUUUUAGUCAUUGCAAUUGUGUCAUUGAUUUUUUAUUUUAUUUUAUUUAUAUUUUCAUUUUUUGGUACUAUCGAUUUUAAUCAUUGUUAUAUUGUCAUUGAGUUCCAUUUUUCAUUUUUAUUGGUUUCAAUCAUCAUGACCACUUCCUUGAGUCAUAUUUUCCAUUUUGUUUUCUAGGUUGCUUUGACUUUAGUCAUCAUGAUUGCAUGCUCAAGUUUCAUUUUCCAUUUAAGAUUUUUUUGGUUCCAUUGAUUUUGGUCAUUGUGACCUUGUCUUUGAGUUUUGAUUUUAGUGUCAAUUUUCCAAUUUCAUUGAUUUUGGUCAUUCCAUCAAUUUUGGUGAUUAAAACCAUACCCUUAAAUUCAAAUUUCAUUAUAUAUUUUUCGGUUCCAUUGAUUUCAAUCAUUUCCAUUGUCUAAAUUCUAUCAUAUCGUAUCUAUGCACACGAGAUCAUUUUCCUUGUAUUUUAGAUCCUUAUGUGACCAUGUUAUUGAGAGUACACCCCAAGAUAUGACAAUAAACAAAUAAGUAUUGUACAAAGGAUACAAUUGAUGGUCUGUUAUGUUAAUUCUUCAGCUCUUGCUCAUUAUAUUGCUCUUUGUUCUCAUGUGCUUGUUCAAUUGUGAUCUCCAAAGAAUAGGAACAUUAAUAGACCCUUAAUUUUUUUUUUCCUUCACACAAUACCAAUUUUCUUAUGUAUAUAAUCUUAGAUGUUUAACUCUUUUAGAACAUCGAUUAUGUUAUUCUUAUUUUUAUUGGAGUUUUAACUUAGUUUGAAUUCUCUUCUUUGAUUUUAUCUUGUGUUUCCAUUGCUAAGAGACUAGUAACAAACUUGUAAAUAUAACAUUCUUAAGGGUUCUUUUGAAGCCUUUUGAAUCUUUUAAGUGUUUAAAAUUGGCCUAAUUUCUCAUGCUUGACGCUAGGGCCUCAAUUUUAGUAUUUAAAGUGUUUUCUUUUUUUGUUAGCUUCAACAAUAAAAGGCAACUAGUGCAGAAAAAGGAUCACAAAGCUUUAAAUAGUAUGGAUGGAAGAUAAAUUGAGUUGAAAAACUAAAUGAUGGAAAAAUGGUUAAGAACAAUGAAAUCAUAAUGCGAAUGAUCAUUCAUCUUUUAGAGAAUGAUUAUUGAAUGAGUUUCAACAUCCAAUCAUUUUGGACGUGAUACAAAGAAUGAUGAGUAAAGUAAAGAAAAUAAAGGGAAUGUUGAGGAAAACAUGAUUACAAGAAUAAUUGAUCAUGCUAUAUGUUAGUAUACAUUCUUGCCUUACUAAAGAAAUGAUCAAUCUUGAGAUCAAGAACAAUCAAACAUUCCUUGCUUGGAUAGGAUCAUAGGUACAUGCAUCUAAGAUUCUAAGAUUAUUAGAUAUAAUUACAUACGUAACUACAAUUUGCCAAAACCUUAGAUCUAGUUGCGAAAAGACAUACCUUUGGAUCUUUAUGUUUCUAGAUCGGAUUCCAAUUGAUGUAGGAACCUAAAAAAAAAAGGUAUUUUCCACCUAGUGGAUUUAUCCUUUUGAUCCUUGGCAUGUGUUUAGCAUGGCUACACAACUUUCUAGAGAAAGAGAGUGGCAAGGGUUUUCUUAGAAAUGGUAGAGACAAUGGAUUAAUGGAUGGUUAGCCCAAAAAUCUAAGAGGGGUUAUAUAGCAUUUCUUGUGAGUUGAAGAGAUUUAGUGUCACUGUGUGCUUGGGUCACUUAAUCUAACCCACCAAGUCCUAAUUAAUUGAUUACCCUCAUGCACACACGAUUAAUUAAACCAAAUAUUUGUGCCAACAAAGAUUGUAAGCUCGAUUAAUGAUUGUUGAGACCCAUAAAAAAAUAUUAACCCUCUCAAAAUCUAAUUUUAAAGUUGACUUAAUAUUCCACUAAAGAGAGUUAGUUGCACUAUACUAUCCUAUUAUAUUACAUCGAGAUAAAAUUGUUUAAAUCUAAUUUGAUCAAUUUCUCAAGUCUGUGACUUACUAUCCAACACUUUGGUCUUAAAUUGGAUUGAUGUCUACUCACCAUUCCUAUAUAUAAAAAAACAUAUAUGGUCUUUUACAUAGUAUCACAUGCAUAUGACUACUUUUUUCAGAAUCAUAAGGUGUCAACCUUAUCUGAUCUUUCUCUUCAGGUGUCUAUGAUAUUGAACCUAAGAAAGAAGAACUCUAUGCCUGAAGGGUAGAAAACCCUUCUUGGAUUUCUGCAUCACAUACUUGACUAAAGCUUAUCAAUGUAGGUGGCCUGAGACAAUGCAAUUUUCAUACUCUUGUGGUCUAUAAUUACCUUAAUCCUAAGAAUAUAUUAUGCCUCUCCUAGGUUUUUAUCUGGAAUUAAGCAAACAACCAAAUCUUGAUUGGUGACAAUAGCCUUACAUCAUUUUCAAUGAGUAGAAUGUCAUCUAUAUGUAAGAUUAAGAACACCAACAUACUUCCUUGUACCUUUUUGUAUCCAUAAGGCACAUAUUCCUUUUGAUCAAAUCCAAGAGUUUUGAUUGCCUGAUCAAAAUGCUUGUUCCAAGAGCAAGAUGCUUACUUUAAUCCAUAAAUAAAUUUCUACAACUUGCAUACUAACUUCUUUUGACUUUUUGUUAUGAAACCAUUUAGUUGCAUCAUAUCAAUGCUUUUAUCAAGAUAGUAAUUCAAGAAUGUUAUCUUAACCUCCAUUUUCUAUAUUUCAUAGUUGAAAGGCAUCAUGAAGGAUAAUACUUUGAUAAAUUUGAGUAUGACUUCUAGUGAAAAGGUUUCCUUAUGGUCAAAACUAGGUUUAUGAUGGUAACUUGUAGCUAUAAGCCUAGCCUUAUAUGUCUUAACCUUUCCAUUUACUCCUCUAUUUUUUUUUAUACCUAUUUCCACCCUAUUGGUUUUAUCUCUUUAGGUGUCUUUAUAAGACCCUAGACUUUGUUAGAAUCAAUGGAUUUUAACUUUGCCUCCAUGGCUCUUUGCCAUAAAUGAGUGUCAACAUUGCUCAUUGCUUCAUUAUAAUUUGUUAGAUUAGUCUCAUGUUCCUCUAGGAUUUCCUUUAAAGACUUUCCUAAAUACAUUAACCUAUUGGGUUGUGAGACAACCCUCCUACUAUGAUGUGACAUUAUGGGUUGUGGGAGUGUUCUUUAGUGUUCUCUAGUGUAUAUAACUAUUUUCUUUAUUACAUAUCAUAGUCUUAUUCUAGAAAUCUGAGAUUUGUAAUAGCAAAUAGCUUAUGGUCCACUAAACUAUGAAAGUAAUAACCAUGGGUUACUCUUAGCUAACCUAAAAACUAACAUACCUAUUGGGAUUAAGCCCCUAAAAGUAAGAUAUGAUAUAACAAAGUUAGACUUAGUUGUCUCAUUACUAUCCUUUUAGUGUAUUGACAUUGAUUUGAACAUUCAACCUAUGUCUCUUACAUUGUACAUGACUUGUGUGCAUUAAGAAUUGCAUAGAAUAUACAAGUCAUGGGUUACUUGUAAGUAGAAAUGUUGUCCACAAUCGGUUCAUGGAUUUAGGCAAUCUAGUAGAGACUAUAUUACAUCACCUCUUAAUUAGAUGGAUGACUUCUUUUGGCCAUUUGGAUGGGUUUCCCAUGGUGAGUGCACUAGUGUAUGUGAUGCAUAUUGGAUAGGACCUACAGUGGAUCAUGACGCAAGGCUAUCAAUUGUCAUGAUUCACCAAGCUACUAUACUAAAUGGACUCUUAACCUUGAGAGGAUAUUGAGCCCAUGCUAAAAUCAACAAGAGGCUUUGACUUAUGGGUGAGACCCUAAAGUACCCAUAUAUUCCUAUGGAUUGGGUUACUAUUGAUGGAGGUUGAUGGCAAUAGGUAUUCUCAAUAGAGAUACCUGAUAUCUCAUGGGAUUAAGAUAAUGUGUCCUUUUGGGUGAUCCAAAGGACAUGUGUGAAUAUGAAAUCUAUGGUCAUAAUAAUUCUUUUAGUGGAAUUUAACAUAUACUUCUUGGAGUUAGGGUAUGUUAGUUGAUCACAUAAUAAGUAGAAUAUGUAACUCAAGGAUUUGAAAGGUGAUCUUGAUAGGUGAUAACACUACCUUGUUAGAUUACGGACACCAAUUCAUGGGAAGUUUGUAUGCAAUGGAUAGUAAGUCACAGACCUAAGCUUCAUCUUAUUGUUAUUCACAUAAAGUACUGGAGUGUAGUUGAUUCUCUUUAGUGGAAUGUUGAAUCAACUUUAGAAUUGGAUUAUGAAGGAGCCAGUACUCCUAGGGGUUCCAAUGGUUAUUUCUUUGAGCUCAUAUACCAUGAUCACACGGUUUAUGAGGGUUGGAUUGGCUCUAGGUUCAUUCUGUGUAUAAGGGUAUUUUGGUAAUUACAUGAGGUUGCACAAAGGAUAAUGAACAAGGUCUCUAGAUUAGGUUAAUUGAUUGAAAAGUAAUACAUUUUUGUCAUAAAUGCCUUUCAACAUUUUAAUUAUUUACAUGUAAGUUUUAAAAGAGAAGAUUAUUUUUACAAAAAAAAAAAUGUAUUUAUGUCAAAAAUGAGUAUUUUUUAGGUUGAAAAAGUAAAGCUUAGACUUAAAAAAUCGGGAUUGUUUCAUCCCUUUUAAUCAAAUAACCCUACAAAGUUUAAUCACUAUUGAGGUAGGGUAUCCAACUUUUGCCUAAAAUAUUCAAUCAUUAAUAAACAACUUUAUAAAAAUUGAAUGCUAUAGUACUUAGAUUAAGGUUUUUUUAAAAGAAUAUGAUUGAUAGUCCCUAAGCCUUAGUGGAAAUUAUUGAUCUUGUUUGUGUUCAAUUAUAGAAUUUCAUGUGUUUGUGUUAAUGACAAUUAAGCUAGUAGGAUAGAGCUCUUAAAAACAUGACAUUAUUUAUUUUUUAAGAUAAAACCCUUAAAAGUUUGGCAUGAUGUAACAUAUUUGGAAUAAUUAUUUAUUUAAUGAUAUUUCAGGUUCAUUUUUAUCUAUCUUUAAUCCAUGCAUCAUACUUUAUGAGCAUUUUGUCCUAGCAUCUCUUGCAUUGUACAUGAUUUGGGUGUAUUAGGAGUUGUACAAAAGAUCCAAAUCAUGGGUUCCUUGCAAGUAGAUGAUUUGUUCACAACCAGUUCAUGGACUUAGGCAAUCCAUUUGAGGCUAUAGUGGACCACCCCCUAAUUGCAGAGAUGGUUGGUCUUGGUCGGUAAGUGCACUAGUGUGUAAGGUCACACAUCGAAUAUGACCUAUGGUGAGUCAUGACAUAAGGCUAUUGGGUAGUCAUGACUUUUCCAAGUUGCUAUAUUGUAUAGCCUCUCAACUUUAAGAGAAUAUUAAGCUUAUGUAGAAGUUAGUAGUGACUUUGACCAUGAUGAGAUCGUAAGUUGAUCAUUUAUUCCUUAUGGAUUGAGUCAUUGUUAAUAGAAGUCGGUAGCAACAAGUAGUCUCAAUAGAGGCACCAUGACAUCUCAUGGAUUUUGAGAUAGUGUGUCCUAUUGGGUGAUCCUAAAGAUGUGUGUGAUUAUGAAAUUUAUGGGCCCGUAGUAAUUCCUUUAGUGGAAUAUUACAUAUGCUCUUAGUGAGUUAGAGUAUGUCAUUUGAUCACAUAAUAGGAUGAUCUGUAACUCAAGGAUUGUAGAAUUAGUCUUGAAAUGCUAAUAGUUUUCACAUUAUUAAACUACAAAUAAUCAGUUCAUGGAAGGUUAUGGAUUUGAACAUUUAGUGUCUCAUUGUAAUAUACAUAGGGUACUAGAGUGUAGUUGACUAUUUGUAGUAGGAUAUUGAUUCAACUUCAAAAUUGGAUUAUGAGAGAGUUAAUAGUAUGUUCUAUGGGUCUCAAUGGUCCCUACUUGAGCUCAUAUCCCUUGAUAACAUGAUUUAUUAGGGUUGGAUGAGUUUUUAGUUCACUUUUAUGCAUAAGAGCAUUUUGGAAAAUCACGCAAGCUUGCACAAGGUUAAGUGAACGGUAUCUUUGGAUAGAACUAAUUGAUUAAUUGGUGCCCUGUUGGGUUAAUUAAUCAAUUUAAAACUUUUAUAGGCUACAUUAAGUGACUUAAGCCUAUGGUGGACUAAAGUCACGUAAGCCUAGUAGGAAGCCUAUAAAUACCCCUCUAAGGGUUAAGGUUUCUAACUUUUUUCAUUCUCUUUGUAUAGUCCAAAGAGAGAACCCUAGCCUCCAACCUUGAAAUCUCUACCAUCUUAGUACUUAGAGUCAAGGAGGAGUCAUCAGGUGGAAGAUCAUGGUGUUGACGAGGUCUACUAUGACUUUGGAGUAUUCUACAUUGAUUGGAAUUGAUUUGGGAACAUUCGAAUAAAAGGUAUGUGACAUUAUUAUCUAGAUCUAUGUUUUAUGUGGUAUCAAUAUUGUUUUUGAAUACCAAGUUUUUUGCUGCGAUAGAUUUAGAAAGCCUUGGAUAGAUUUUAAUGCACUCUAACAAUCCAGGGCAUGGGAAUAGAGUAAUCUAGGGUUUCCCAACAAUAUUAUAUUAUGAUUUUCGGUUCCACUACUCUAUCCAUGAGUGCUUUAUUUAUUAUUUAAGCAUUCAUAUCUAUAUUACUUGCAUUGCACAUGACUUGGAAGCAUUAGGAGUUGCACAAAAGAUCCAAGUCAUGUGUUUUUUUCAAGAUGAUAAGUUUUUUAUAGUUGGUUUAUGGAAUUUGAUAAUCCAUCUAAAAAUGUUGUGCACUAUCUUCUAAUUGAAGGAAUGACUUAUCUUGGUCAUUAGGAUGAGUGUCUUAUGGUAAGUGCACUAGUGUGUAUGGUUUACUCAUUCGAUAUGACCUACAUUGAAUUGUGACAUUAACUAUUAGGUAAUUAUUAUUCAUUAAACUACUAUGCUACAUGGGCUCUCAACCUUAAGAGGAUAUUGAGUUAGUGCUAAAGUCUUUAGUGGCUUUGACCUAUAGGUGAGAUCUUGAAGUAUUCAUAUAAUCCCUACGAAUUGAGUAACUAGUAAUUAAGGCAGGUGACAAUAUGUAUCCUCAAGAUAGACACCAUGAUAUCUCAUAGAAUUGAGAUUGUGUGUCUCCUUAUAUGAUCCUAAGGACUUGUGAUCAUGCAAUAUAUGACCUUAGUAAUUCCUUAAGUUCAAUUUAUAAAGGUUACAAAACAGGGGGAUUUGAGACUCAAGGAUGAUAAAAGUUAUCUUCAAAGGUUGACAAGAUCUAUCUCUUUAGAUUACAAAAUCCAAUUCAUGGCAAGUUUGCACAUAGUGGAUAAUAGGUCAUAAACCCUAUAAAUUGAUUAAAUUAGAUUUAAUCAAGUUUCAUCUCAAUAUAAUUUCAUAAGAUAAUGAAGUAUAGUUGACUCACUUUAGUGGAGAGUUGAGUAAACUUUAGAAUUUGAUUAUAAAGGAGCCAAUAUUUUCCUAUGAGUCCCAUUGGUGCCCAUUUGAGCUCAUAUUCUUUGUUGGCACAAAGUCUUAAAGUUUUAUGAAUAAUUAAUCAUUUAUGCGCAUAAGGACAUUUUAAUAAUAGUGUAAGAUUACAAAGGAUUUUAUAAUAAAUUAUUUUUAUUUUUAUUUAUUUUUUGAAUUGGGAAAAUUAAUUAAUUAGGAUCCAAUAGGCUAGAUUCAGUGACCCAAACCUUAGUUGGGUUCAAAUCACUUAAGCUUAUAAGCUCAUAAAGAAAUAUUUAUAAACUCUUUGAGGGAUUUAGGGUUAGAUAGACUUGAUCAUUGUCUUCCAGAGAGCCUCCAACUCUCUCUCUCAAAGAGUGUAACCACUUCACACAAGUGUUAACGCUUAAAGAAUGAGUGAUUGGGUAGAAGAGUGCAAGGUUGUUGAUAUUUCCUUUACCGAGUGGAAUAUGAUCUAAGGAGAUCUAUAUCAAAAGUAAAAUUUUUAGGCACCUAGAUAUCUUUUUUUAUUUAUGUUUUCUGCUACAAUUAGGUCUAGUAUCCUUGGGUUGCUAGAGAGUAUGUGCUUAUCAAUAAACAAUGAUUAAUUGUUUUGCCUUAGAAUUAAAAAAAAAAAUGUAUAAUCUUGAUGGAAUAGAGAUUUUUCAAUAAUUGGAGUAAGUGAUUUAUCAUCAUAUGCAAUAAAUUGUUAGGGUACUUUUGAUUUGUUGCAUGGCAUUAUCAAGGAAAUUUACUUAAGCCAAAUAGUUGUCUUAAUAAUUUUUAAGAAAAUUUAUUCAUUUCAAUGUUUUGAUGUACAUUGCAUUUUUUUUGUUUGUAAUCCACCAUUCCUUAUGCCAUUAUGGUUAGAAUUAAUUGAUUGUUAAAGUUGCCUCCAAUUACUCAAUAGAGAUCAAUGAAUUUUAGGCUCAAUGGGGUGCCUCAUAUCAUCUCAAGAGGUAAUAUAACCUUUAAACAUAUUUUAAGUUGUAAUUUUUUACUUUCUUAGGAGUCAUUUGAGAUCUUAUAAGGUCUUUACACUUUGGAUUUUAUUUCUUAUUAUUUUCCCUUUUAAAAUAUAAAAUAAGUGACGACUCCAAAUUAAAGACAAAAUAAAAAAUAAAUAAAUUUUCAAACAAAUAAGCAAAUAUAAAACAAAAUCAAAGGACAUAGCAAGGAUGAAAAUAUUGUUUUUUAUCGAAAUGUUGGUAGUUGGUAUUUAUGGAUAUAUUAGGAAAUAUUGGCAAAAAUCUUGAUAAAAGAUAUCAUUGAGAUGAAAUUUGAUCAAAACUUAGAAAAAUAUUGGGGAAAACUCCCAAAAAUGAUAGAAGAAAUAAUAAUACAUAUAUUGAAGCUUUUUUAUUAAAUAAAUUGAUACAUGUAUUAUAUAAUUUAUGACAUUCGACAAUAGUAUGCAUAAUUUGUAGUCACAUAUUUAUUGUAAUUAUAGAAAUUAAUAUUUAAAUUUGAAGCCAUGAUUUUUAAUGCCAUAUAAUUUUAUGUGGUUGUUUUUAUUUCUUAAUAAGGGAAUUAUAAUACCUAAUGGGUUUUUCUCCUAUAUGUAAAUCUCCUAAAGAGGAGCACCUAGCAAUUUUGGAAAAAUAGGAUUUGAUUUUAAUUAAUGGCAAUCUAUGAGGGUAUUUUUGUAAAAGCACUCCAUGAGGAGAGUAACCCUAGAAUUUGGUCUUUAAAUACAAAUUUCUCUUGCUCUCUUUCUCUGAGUCUAUGAGAAAAGACACGAGUUUGAGGAGACUUCAAUUGAGAACAUCUAAGAAGUAGAAUCUUUCAAUGGAGAAGAAGAGGAGACUCUCAAAUAUUUCUUCAAUUAUUCAAGCAAUCUAUAUGUGUUGUAAGUUAACACCUGCUACUUAAUUCUUUUUGUUCAAUUGUUAUAAUUUAAAGGAAAGUACAAAUAUCACUCUUUUCUUAAGAGAUCAAGGACCAAACUUGAUACGAAACCCUAAAAACAGUAUUCAAGUUCAUUAAUUUGAUACAAAUUAAUGUUUAUGAGCCUUAAAAACCACUGAAAAUGAAUUAGAUUAAAAAGUUGAAAUAGUUUUUUAGAUUGAUCUUAUAUUAAAGUAUUGAUAUUCCUUCAAUUUUGAUCCAAUUGAAGAGAAAGUCCAACUGAUGGAAUGAGAACUUUCUUCUUUGAUUGAUACAUCUUGGAUGAUCGAAUAAAAGAAACUCAAUUUAUCAGUCAAAGCUUAAACCAUUUUCUUCAGUUUAGUGGAAUGACCUAUGGUUUUUCUUUUCCAUUUAUGUCCAUAAUUAUAUUUGAAGAUGCAACACAACAUCUUAAUAUGGCCACCAUCCAUCAUUUAGGUUUUUUUAUCGUUUCCAGCAUAUCUAUAUUCUCAUAGGUGUCCUAUCAUCACGUAAUUUACAAGUAACUAAAAGAGAAAUAUCUCUUUAAUCAUCCAUUGAUAUAUUAAUAUGUGACUUAAUCUAUUUGUAUUAGGAUAUUAGGUAAUCUUUAUCUUAUAAAUAACUUCUUAUCUAGAAGCAUUAACUACAUGAACAAGGCACCAUCACCUAGAGUUAUGUGGCUAUGCAUUUCAAAUACUAUUUCCAAUAUUUCUUACUUCAUACUUUAUAAAAUCCUAUAGAAUUGUGUGGAUUGCAAAGUUUGAUAAUUUAUGGAAUUUUGUUUUAUUUAGAUUUGUCUUUUAAAGUAACAAAAAGAUAGGGUUAUAAUGCAUCAAAGGAAAGUGGUAAUUUGCUAGAACAUGCAGUUACUCUUUGUAGGCAAGAUAGAAUUGAUUCUUUUGUGUAAUUGGAAGGAAGAUUUUUAUGAUGUUGAGUUGAUUGUCAUAUUAAUAAUCACUUUAAAUUUUUGUUUACUUAUAGGUUAUUAAUGUGCCUUUUUCAAGUUUGAGAAUGUGGUAUAAUCCUUUUUAAUAUGAUAAUAGGUAGCUAAAUAAGAAAAGAGACUUGAUAGAAAUUUAAAAAAAAAAAAUUAGCAAAAAUAAUUUGUUUACAAAAUAAAUAAAAAAUCCAUAAUAUAAACAUUCUACCAAAAUGAUUCCCAAACUAGUGCAUCCUAUCUAUGUGGCUAUCCACGUUACAAAACUGAAGUUAGUAACUACAAUUUUAAUUUUUUUUUUAAAUGGUUAAAACUAUAGUUGAUGACUUUUAAGUUUAAAUUUAAAGUCGUAGUCACCAACUAUGGUUUUAUGUUUAAAAAUAGAAAUCAAAAUUGUAGUUGCUAACUACGGUUUUGUGACAAAAUAAAAAAUAAAAAAUCUUAGGCCAUGUAGAUGUCCAAGUGGAUGAGAUGCAUUAAUUUGAGAAUUAUUUAGGGAGGAGGGUUUUUAUGGGUUUUUUUUUCAAACAUAUUAUUUUGACUAAAAACUCCAAACAAAAAAAUGGUAGAAUUGGGAGUACUUAUAUAUAAAAUCAACCCAAUUCUUCCAUAUCAAGGAAGUGAUAUAACAAGAUAGGAAACACCUAUAUCUUACUCAUUAGAUGUAUAAAAACAAAAUUAAUUACGUAUGUCAUUAUAAGAAGUUGAGUUGUCACAACAUUUUCAUUUUCAAAUAUUAUACCAUAGUUAGAAAAACAUAUAAAUGGUAUAAAAAAAUUUGAGCUUGUCAAUUAUUGAUUUUUUUUCUUUUCUUUCUUUCUUCAAUAUUUUAGUGUUGAAUACCCAUAAAAUCAAUUAUUUGUUUUUUAGGCUAUAGAAUCUCCAUUAUUGUAAGAAAGAUAAGCAUAAAUUCCACCUUCCUUUUUCAGGUUUUCUUAUUAUGGAAUGAGGGUAGUCGGAAAUAGGUAUGUGUUUAAUUUUUUUCAAAAUUCAAUAAUUUUGUGAGAUUUUGUGUUUGGACAAAAAGGAAAGAAGUACCAUCACAAGAAUUAUACAUGUGAUAGAAGAAAUGAAGAGUGCAUUUGGCAUUAAUUUUAGAAAAUGUUUCUAACAUUUCUAACACUUGAAUGAUAACAAAUUUCAAGUGUUAGAAUGGUUAGAAAUGUUUCCUAGAAUCACUGUCAAACCAACUUGAAAUUUCUUAUAGUCCAUUAAUAUUAUUUCUUGAAAAAUCCUAGCUCUGUGCUAUCAAAGUUUUAUUUUUUAAUCUUUUUGACAUUUUUCCCCUCAUUUAUAUAUCUUAAUCAUAGUAUGUAUGCAGCUUUUGCAGAAAUACAGGAUCUUCCUACAGCGAGUUAUCGUACAUAUGCAACUUUUGCAGAAGUAGAGGAUAUUUCAAAAGCUGGUGAUUCAAUUGGAAGAAGCACAUGAAAGAAUUCAACUCAAAGAAAUCAAAUAUGAAGCUUUGCGAUGGAGCACCCUUCACUGAUGAUUAAUGAAUUCCAACAUGUGUUCCUGUAGUUUCUAGAACAAUGCCAAAUAAGUAGGAUCUAAAGGACACCUUCUAACUACACAUGGUCCGAAAUUUGGUGGUAAAAAUAGUUUUGGAUGCAUAUGCACCACCUAAAGAUAACAAUUACUUUUGAUUAUACCUAUAGGGAAAAAAAUAGGAACUUAAAGCAAUAGGUUGAUCAAUUAGUAUUAAAGUGGAUUUACAAUAUCUACAUAGGUGAAUUGAUUUGUUUUUGUGCUACAAUGAUGCAUGGCUUAGUUAAAGUUUAAUUUUUUUUUUUUCUUUUGGAUUUGAGUGGAAAACCCAUCUAUUUAUAUAUUACUAAUUUGCAAUAUAAUGCUAGAUGUGUACUACAUAUAUCAAGUAUUGCUUUGACAAAGUGGUUGAAUAUUGUUUUUUUGUCUAUGAAUAGAUCCCAAAAUAUUACAUAAUUUGGUUGUUUUAUUUUGUAUUUUCUAAUUAUAAUUCUUCACAGAGCAAUUGGUCACAAACUAGUGCCACCCAUAACCAUUGGAAGAGACUCUAUAUGCAUGUAUAUAUUAAGAACAAACUUUGAAUAGUGUUUUGAUUUCUAUUUUUUUUUUUUUUUUUUUGUUACUAAGCUUAUUUUCCAUGGAAUUCCAUUGUGCAAUGUUAUCAAAAUUAAUUUUAGUGGUAUAAUAUCUCAAGUAUUAGCCAAGUAAUUGUCAACUUAUAUUUAAGAAUAUGAUAUAAUGGUGACAUACAAAAAUAUAAAAGAGAAUAUGAAGGGUGCUAGCAAAUAUGUUUAAGAAUACUUUGACCUUAGUGAGAUUUCAUGCUUAUAGAUAUAGUCUCUAGCAAAAAUAUUUAAAUCUCCACAAAUUUAAAAGUUAGAAAUGUUGUUUAAUUAGUUUAAGAAAAAAAAAGCUUGCCAUAAGGAUUUAUUGAGAAGUGGUUUACCACAAAGUUAUGCUAAGAAAUGGCUUACCAUAAGGCUAUACCAUAGGAAUAGCUUUCUAUAAGGUUGUGUUGAGAAAUGGAUUUCCAUAAGGUUGCAUUUAGAAAUGCCUUGCUAAAAUACCAUAAUGAGAAAUGACUUUCCAUAGGGCCAUCUUAAGAAAUGGCUUACCAUCAGACUAUGCCAAGAAUUAGCUCAUCAUAAGGCUGUGUCAAUCGAGUAGUGUAUUUCCAUAAGGAUGUGUCAAGAGUUGACUUGUUAUAAGGUUAUACUCUGAAAUGGUUUGCUAUGAGGUUUUACUACAAAAUGUCUUGUGAUAAUGUUGUGUUAAGAAAUGGGUUUCAAUAAGGAACAAUGACUAGCUAUAAGGUUGUGUUAGGAAUUGACUUACCAUAAGGCUAUGCUAGGAAAUAGCUUGCCAUAAGGCUAUGUUAAUAAAUGGCUUGCCAUAAUGUUAUAUUACACUCUAGGCAGUAUUUGUUUUUGUCCUUGAAAAAACAAAGGAAGUAGUUUGGUUUUGGAAGUUCUUUAUGGGACUUGAGGUAAUUUCUUUAAUUGUAUUGCCCGUUCUCUUAUUUAUUUAUUUUUUUAAUAACAAUAGGUGAUGAAAAUGUAAAGAACCAAAGAAUUGCCAAAAGAGAAAAUACAUAGAAAGGAAGUACUACCUAAUUCGUGAGAUAGUUCAGAGAAGUGAUGUGAUUAUGGGGAAAAUUCUUUUUGUGGUGCUUAACAUGCUUUUAAGGCUAGUAGGAGAUUGUUGGGAUAUAGCCCUUAAAAAAAUGACAUGUUGUAACAAUAUGAGUUUUAAAUUUAUGGUUUAUUUAAGCAUUUAGGCAUACAUCAUUUCCAAUAAGAGUUGCAUGGAAUAUCUAAGUCAUGGGUUCCUUACAAGUUAAUGAGUUAUAUAUAUUUGGUUCAUAGACUUAAACAAUCCAUUUGAGGUUGUAAUGUCAUGAUAGAAUCCUUAAAAGCAUGGCAUGAUGUAAUAACAAAAGAUUUCAUUAAUAUUUAUAUUAUGCAUUCAAUUUCCAUUUACUAUUCUAUUUGUGCAUUAUGCUUAUAUAGGUCAUUUAGGUCUGCAUCACUUACAUUGUACAUUACUUGAGUAUAUUAGGAUUUGAACGGAAGAUCCAAGCCAUGGGUUUGUUGCAAGUUGAUGAGUUGUAUACAGUUGGUUCAUAGUCUUAGGCAAUUUAUAUGAAGCAAUAAUGUACUACCUCUUAAUUGGAAGGAUAACUUGUCUUAGUCAUCGGGAUGAGUUUCCCAUGGUGAGUGCUUUAGUGUGUAUGGUUACACAUUGGAUCGGAUGUAGGUGAUUCAUUACAUAGACUAUUGAGUAGUCACGACUUCACCAAGCUACUAUAGUGCAUGAGUUUUUAACUUUGAGAUAAUAUUAAUCUAUUGGUGAGGUUUUCAGUGGCUUUGACAUAUGAGUGGGACCAUCAUGUGGCUAUACAUUAUCUAUGAAUUGGGUCACUACUGAUUAAGACAAGUGGUAAUAGAUAUUCUCAAUAUAGGUACCAUGAUAUCUCAUGUGUUUCAGACAAUGUGUUAUUUGAAGUGAUAUUAAUAACUUGUGAUCAUGAAAUUUGUGGCCACAGUAAUUCCUUUAAUAGAAUUUGACACAUGAUCUUGGUAAGCUUGAGCAUGUUCAUUGAUCAUGUAAUAGGAAAAUCUUAGACUCAAGGAUGGUGAAGGUAAUUUUAAGAGGAUGAUAGCUUAUACCUCAUUACAUUAGGGACACUAGUUCAUGGGGAGCUUAUAUAUAGUGUUUAGUAGAUCAUGGGCUUGAGUUUUAUAUCUCUAUCUAACAUCAUAGGAUUCUAUAUUGUAGUUAACUCUUUAUAGUGAGAUGUUAAAUCAACUUCAAAAUUGGAUUAUGAGAAACUUAGUAUUUUCCUAUAGGUCCCUAUGGUCCUCGUUCAAGCUCAUACUCCUUGGUGGUGUGUUAUUUUUAAUGAUUUAUCGGUUUUUCUUAUUCAUAUAUGUGCACAAUGGUGUUCUAGUAAAAACACAAGGUUAUAUAGGAGUUUAUGAAUGGUUAGAUUGGGCUAAUUAAUUAAUUUGAACCUAAAAGGGUAAAUUAACUAAUUAGGACCUAGUGGGUUAGAUUAAGUACCCAAGCUCAAGGUACUUACGUAAGCCCUCAAGGAAGUCUAUAUAAACUCCUUUAGGGUUUUAGGUUAAACAUUCUUAGUCAUUAUCUUCUAGAAAGAGAGCUCUAGCCUUCAUCUUUUUAUUGAGAUAAGUCCACUCAUCUUUAAUGCCAAGAUCUAAGAAAGAGUCAUUGUAGGGAAGGUUGCGAGGUAUUUUGAGAUUCACUUCACUAAUUAGAUUUGAUAUGAGAACAUUCAAUUUAAAGGUAAAAUUUUUGAACCUUAGAUCUAAGGUUUACUUUUUAAAAAGCUUCUCUUGUUCUUACAUCUAGAUCCUUAAAAAGAUUAGAUGAAUGCACUAAACCUCCUUGGAUGAAAGACUAAAGCAUGGGAUAUGCAUAGGUCGUGUGCACGAGAAUCUCACGAGACACGCACGUGGGUAGUAGCUUGAGGAGAGUGACUCUUUAGUUUUUUUAGACAUGUUCUUCAACAGAUGGAUUUUGAUAUGAGAACAUUUAAAUCAUAGAUAUGAGUUUCAAAUCUCUAUAUAUUUAUUCUAAAAUGGUUUUGAAGCUAUUUUUUUUCCAUUGUGUUAGAUCUAGAGAGCUCUAAGGAUAAAUGCAUGCACCCUAUUAGAUCUAGGGCAUGGGAAUGGAGUGAUUCAAGAUUCCUAAUAGUAAUAAGUCUACUUCCUUUUUCCACUUAGUCUUAUCCAUCUGACACACUAAGCACAAUCUUACAUAGGCAUGCACAUCAUCCUUUAUCUUAGGCCAAUGAAAGGAUUUUGAUAAUAAGGCCAAUGUUCUCUCUUCUCUUGGUUGACAGACCUACCUUGUAUUACGAGUUUCCUUUAGAAACUCUUAUCUCAAUUUUCUUGAAAGAAUGUAUAACUUCUUGCCCACAUAGCAUAAUAAUCUUUUUUCUAACUAGUAUCACCUUAUGGUGUCUUCCUUUACCUACUUAACUAGCUUACUAUAUCUAAUGUCAUGUGGAGCUUCCUGCUUUACUAUAUCUAACAGUGAAUCUGUCACAACUCUAGACAAUGAUCCCACAAACUCUAUUAAUUCAUUUUUUCUGAAAGCAUCUGCAACUUGGUUGUGUCUACCAGCUUUAUGUACCCACACAAAGUCAAAGUCUACCAAGAAUUCUUAUCAUCGAGUUUGCUUAGAGGUCAGCUUUUUCUGAGUUUUGAAAAAAGUGUUAGCUAUAUUAUUGAUCACCAACAUGAACUUAGUACCCAUCAGGUAGUGCUUCCAAGUCCUAAGGCAGUGGAUGGCCAUUGUUAUCUUCUUCUCGUGCAUGGAAACCUCUUCUCCAGUGCAUCCAACUCCCGACUCUCAAAUGCCACUAAGUGACCUUUCUACACUAGUAAACCUCCUAAAGCUUUGUUUGAGGCAUCAAUUUGUACCUUAAAAGGAAGUUGUAGGUUGAUAGUCUUAACACCGGUUAUGAGGUGAUUAUAUCAUUGACCCUUUGGAAAGUUGUCCAACAUUUCAGUUCCUAACCUUAUAUUUUUUCUUUCUUCAACAAAUCAGUUAGAAGAAUGACUCUCUUGGAGUAUCAUUUGAUGAACCAUCCAUAGUAAUUUGAUAACCUAAGAAAGAAGUGAAUUUCAGUGAUUUUUUUUGGAGUAAGCCAAUCCUAGAUUGCUACUACUUUGGACUCAUCCAUCUAAAUUUGUCUCUUAGACACUAAAUUCCCUAAAAACUUGAUCUUAACCUAUGAAAACUUGCACUUCUCCUUCUUCACAUACAACUAGUUAUGUAUUAGUCUUUAUAGUGCCUUCCCAAGGUGGACUAAGUGAUCUUGUGGAGUUUGGUUGUAAAUCACUAUAUCAUCCAAAUACACUACCACAAACGAGUCUAGGAUAUCAAAUAAGACAUCGUUCAUUAGGUUGUAAAAAGUGACAAGGGCAUUAGUCGGCUCGAAAGGUAUGACUAAGAAUUCAUAGCUACCAUACUGAGUCAUUAAAGUUGUCUUUGCCUUUUUUUUUUUUUUUGCAAUGCGAACCUGUCAAUUCCUCGAUCGCAAGUUUACCUUGGUAAAGUACUUUACUUUACUUAAUCUAUCAAACAAGUUUGGAGCCAAUGGUAUAGGGUACUUAUUCUUUUUAGUAACCUUGUUCAGUGCACAAUACACGUCAUAAUGAUCCAUCCUACUAUUUCUGAAAGAGUGCCAACACCCCAUAUGGUGCUCUUAAGGGUUGUAUCAAAUCUACAUCCAACAAUUCUAUUAAAUUCUUCCGCAAUUCCCCAAACUCUAGUGGAGUCAUCCGGUAAGGGACUUGUGCAGGCAACUUAGCCCUUAGCCCUUGUGCAAGUGACUACAUCAGCAA